AAAUGCAGCAGUUGAACUUGGAAAAUUUGGGAUUAGAGUUAAUUGUGUGUCUCCUUAUGCUCUUGCAACUCCUUUAGCAACACAAUUUGUUGGAUGUAAUGAUGGUGAGCUUGAAACUACCAUGAACACGUUGGCUAAUCUUAAGGGUGUGAUUUUGAAAACUGAUGAUGUGGUAAAUGCAGCACUUUAUUUUGCUAGUGAUGAUUCGAGGUAUGUGAGUGGCCAUAAUUUGCUCAUAGAUGGAGGAUUCAGCAUUGUUAAUCCAUCCUUUCACAUGUUUCAGUAUUCAGAUUCUUGAUUUUGUUUACUACCAUGAAGCAAUAAUAAUUAUGAAGAAGUUAGAAUAAGGGAUCAACUUGGCUUUGAUUGUAAUUUUAUAUUGUUGCUACAAAUGUUUUGGAUUCUUCUGUAUCUUAUGCUUGGGUUUGUACCUAUGGGUGUGGUUAUCAUGCAUAAGCCUAACUUAUGCACCAUGCAUAAGCCUGCAUUAAUCCAACCCAUUAUGCACCUAGCCCAAUAGAAUUGCUUCCUACAUCCCAAAAGAAUUGCUUCCUACACCAUGCAAGCAAACAAGACAAAACAACACACAUCACCGUCUUCCAACAAACGGUAACAAACACGACCAAACUUCCACCUUCGCAAAUCACGCCAGAAGCAAACUUCCACCACCGGAAACCGUUCCACCACUGGAAACCGCAUUCACCAUAACCGCAUUCACGUCGGAAACAACAUUCACCACCGGAAGCAAAACACGUCGGAACGGUAACAAUCACGUCGCAAACUUCCACCACUGCAAAUCACGUAGGAAACAAACUUCCAUAACCGGAAAUCGCAUUCACCAUAACCGCAUUCAUAAUCUUCAUCAUCAUCGCAGCAAAACAGUUGAAAAUGAUGAAAACAAAACAGGUUUCAUCUGUAACCCUAAAUUCACAGUUUAAUUUCGAAUUGGUUUAAUUUCUGCAAAUGGUUUCAUAGUGUUGAUUUGUUUAAUUUAUGGAAAUGGUUUCAUAAUGUUUAAUUUCGAAUUGGUUUAAUUUCUGGAAAAUCAACUCUGAAAACCAAUAUGUUGUGUAAAUGGUUUUCGCAAGUUUUACUCUGAAACCAUUUUAUGUGACAACUUUUGUUUUAGGGACUUUGUUAGCAUAGCAACACAUACACACACACACAAACAUAAAAAAAUUAACAAGAAUGGUGUGUGUGUUGAAGGAAGUGGUUGAUCUCACAGCACUGCAUAACUUCCCAAAAUCCUUACCUAUUGUUGCUACUUCUAUUUCUAUCUGUUGCACAACCAUAUCUAUAUGUAUCCAACAAACCAACCAAGAACUAUAAAAACUUAACAGAAAGAAAAAAUAUAUAUAACAUAAAAGCUUAAAGUGAUUUCAAGAGAUAGGUUGGGAAAAUUUGCAGGUGUUUGAAGACAAGUAUGUAGUGUGAUAGUUGUGGAUGUUCUCAAGAACAAAAAAGUGUUGUUAGAAGACUAGAGCAUUAUUAGUUUAAGUUAAGUUAGUGCAUUUUGAAAAGAACAAAAAAAGUGUUGCUAGAAGACUAGAGCAUUAUUAGUUUAAGUUAAGUUAGUGCAAGAGUUGAUUGUGAGUCAAGAGUUGAUGAAAGUUUUGGUUUUAAGAAACAAAAAAAUGUAACUCUUCAUGGACGUGAAUGCUUAAACUUUGACCCAUCUAUUUGUGUCUCUAUUAUAGUCCUCACAGUUAUUGUUUAAUUAUUUAUUAGUAACAUUUUGUCAUAUUAGGGAAAAAAUUGCCUAUGUGUGCCUUUGUGGCAACCAGUUUUAACAUGUGUAAGUAGAUGUGUUAGUCUUGCCUUUCUCUUAAUUUCACUUCAGAUUUUUUUUAUUGCAUUCUUGAUUUUCAAUAAAAACCAAUGUGUUUAUUAUAGUAUGUUUUGUUUAAAAAUUAUGCCAAAACCAAUGUGUUGUGUAAAUGGUUUUUGCAAGUUUUACUCUGAAACCAUUUUGCUGUUGAAAUGGUUUCAGAGUGUUGAUUUACUUUGAAACUGUUUUUAACAAUCUCUUUAACAUCCUCUAACAUAAAUUACUCACAAGAGAGCCAACUUAUGCCAAAAGCAUGCCACUCUUAAUACCACACAAUAAAGGAUUUCCUUCUGUCGGCUGCAAUUCAAAGAUAUUCAUUCAUAUCGUGUGUAUUUUAGAUACGUGUAGUAUAAAUUAGUAAUACUCAUAAAAUUUAAUUGUGUUUAUUGUUGAAAUGGAACAGGUAGUACAUAUGAAGUCUGAAAAUGAUCCUGUAAAGAUGAUGAGUAUAAAUUAAUCUCUGACGCAUUGCAACAGAUGAGUAUAAAAAAAUGUGUUCUACUUUAAAUUUAAUUUUGGUACAAAUAGGACCACCAUAAUCACAUACAAUGAGGCCUAGACGUCACCGAAAGAACGUUAAUCAUGUUUCUUAUAUAUAAAACCAAAAAAUACAUCGUUAUAUGCAGUGACGUAAAAAAGAAGUUAGGAACUAGAUCAACUAAGAGUUUAUUCGAUGCAUGGAUUUUCAUUUAACUAUCUGUUUAUGUAAGGCCUUAAAUUUUUCAGGAAGUUUACCAUUUCUUACAAGUCACUGUACUCAUGGCUCAAUCUUUAUAUCUGUGAGAAGUAUUCCUAACCACUUGCUUGUAUGAAAAAAAACAUCCUUUAUUAGAUAUUUAUUUAUGUUUCAUAAUCAUUUUGUAUUCACUAGAAAAUGCUUUACUUCCUAUCUAGUUGUUACUUUUUUCAUUGACGAUGUGAUAGAAAUAAAGAGAUAAAGAAAAUGAGUUGUUGAACGAGUGUAGGAAAAUUUGUGAUGUUUAAAUAUCAUUGUUGAUUGCAUCUCCCUGCUUUCCUUAGGUGUCGGUGUCACUAGUCCAUUGUGUGAAAAAUAUAAUAAAGCAUCCAUCCUAAGAAAGAGAAUUAAUGUCUUAAAAGACUACUGUAUAAAUUGGUCCAAGUCAAUAUGUGCUGUUUUUAAGAGUAAAAUUUGUGUCAGUUGGAAUCUUUUAAUUUUCUCCUCAUAAAAUUCAAGACUUACGUGAAAGAGGAACUCAAUGGACUCUGCUAAAAAAUUUCUCUACCUUGUCACAAUCCAAAAUCAUAAACACAAGUUGUUAGUGUUAUAUAACUCUUUGAUUCUACUACUUCUCAGCUUCUCUUUUUGCUCUUGUUCUUCUGAUACCAUAUCUAUUUGGUUUUAUUGUAUGUGUGUGUGAAUUAUUUGAAUAUAAUCACGUGUGUUUAUGCCGACACUGAAAUGAAACCAAAUAUAUUAGUGUCACAACUUCUGACACGCGCCGACAUGACCUGUUGCGGUUGUCCUAAUUUUUCCGCUCCGCUAUAGCGGCCAGCGUGGCCGCUUUUGACAACAGAGGCAAGAAUGUCUCAUGUUAUUGAAAAUCCAAUGGCACAUGAUCCAACUCAACAGUUGGAUAUCAUAUAAACUGAGAUCAAAUAGCAGAGUAGCUGCAGUGUUGUGACCUGUGAUUACACUUCUAUAAUCAGCUGAAUGGAAUGAUUCUGUCCAUUCAAGCAGUGUAGAGUUUGAUUCUUCAGUGCUAAGGUUGUAACAGAUAUGAUUGAAGAAUAUGGUGGUUGCAUGUUGACUGAAAAUUGUAUUUCCCCUGUGCCUAAAAUUAUGAGUAUAGACCAAUUAAAUAGGUUUACACUACUUAAUUAAAUUGAUACCAAAACUAUUACAAUUCUAUUUAUUCUCUUCUAUAGAUCAGAAUUCUUGAACUCACGCUUUCAUCUUAUUUUGAAAAAUUCAUUUUUGUUAUUUUUGUUGAUUAUUAAGAUGAAAGAUGUAUUUUUCUGAAAAUGAUAUUGUGACCAGUCUGAGGGAUACUUCGCUAUAAGUUGCAACACAUUUGCAAAUUGUAAAUGAACUCAAUUUAGUUCAUUGGAUUCUAUGUUUAGUUCACUGCAUGGGUCUUCAGUGAUUUUUUAUUUCUUCUUUUCUGGUUGUUGGGCAAAACAACAACAUGAAAUAACUUAAAGAGCAAUGCUAAGUUGCGCACAAUUAACCACACACUCUCUUGCACACUUUUAAUAGGUAAAAAUUGUCAUGAAUCUCUUUACUUUAGCAAAUGUGUCCCACCAAAUACGGAAUGAAACCUAGGUGAUUUAGUUGUAUCCACAUGAUUUUUUUUUAACCAAUACCAAGUGUGUUAUAUUGUGUCUUAUUAGUACUCCCUCCGUGCCUUAAUGUAACCCCCCUUUGCAUUUUUCCCUCCAUCCCUUAAAAAAUAUGCCAAAACCAUUGUGCUGUGGAAAUGGUUUUGGUGAGUUGUAAUCCAAAACCAUUAGAUGUAUUUAAUGGUUUUCUUUGAUCAUGCAGGUAAAAAAAACUAAAGAGCUAGAGCCAUUGCCAUCAUUCAGUUUUGGGCUAACACAAAUGGAGGAGGAGGAAAGGAAUGACACAACUUCAUCAUCUGAUGGUGGUAAAAAAACAAGAAAGUCUAAGGGUAAAGAAAAGAAGAAUCAUAAAAAGAAACAACAAAUGGUUGCACAAGAUUCUGAUGAAGGAAGUUCAAAUGAUGAAAAUGUCAAGCAAAGACUGAGGCACAAGAUGAGUAUACCUAAGGUAUAUGAGCUUAUGAAUUCAGUAAAUGGCAAAAGAAGAAAACAUGAGAUAAUUGACGCAUAUCUGCAACUGGAAAAGAAUCCACACUUUCUUUGUGGAUUGGGUUGUUAGAAACUUUCACAAAGAGAACAUGUGCAUUGUAUUAAGCAAGACCGAGGUGCUUCCAUUGAAAGAGGAAAAUGUACAUAGGGUGUAUGAGCUCCCAAUGGAAGGGAAGAAGAUUAACGUCGAUCUCUGCUCUGAGGAAGCAAUAAAGAAAUUGAGGAAAGAAUUGGGACUGAAUGGAUAUUAUUCAGCUUCUGUGAGGGUGACAGAUUUGGAAAGAAUAUUGAAGACACUAGAGAAACCAAAAGCUUGGGUGAAGGGUGCAAUUUGUUUUAUCAUUCACAAAAUUUUGUGCCCGACUAAUAGUAACUUUGUAUCUCUCCAAUAUGCGUACAUAUUAGAAGAUCCGGCUGGGGUAUCAUAUUAUAAUUGGUGCUCACAUGUUCUUGGGUAUAUGAAAGAGGGCCUUCAAACUCCGGAAAUUGCAAAUCCAUUAGCGGACUUCCACUUCCUAAUGGUGAUCAUUCUAUAUAUAUAUAUAUAUAUAUAUUUGUAUUUUUAAAACAACUAAAUGGUGGAUUUUUAAUUUAUGUAUGUGCAUGUUUUUAUUGUGCAGAUUAAUUACUUGGAGAAAAUGGGGAAGAAAAGCCCAUUUCUAACAGGAAAAUACAAGCGGCCAUCACUUCGUGAUUGGGAUGUCAAGGCGGCAAACCAAGACCUUCAGAAGGUCCAUGACCUUAUGGGACUCGAGCAUUAACAGAGAUUGUCACUACUGCCAACUACACUAUUUAACCUCUUCAUUCUUUUACUUUCACAUAUGCAAAUGUAUUCAUAAAAUUUUUGUUAUAUAUUUUAUGGUAUUCAUUGAAUCAUAGACAAAGCUGGAUUUGUUUCACUAAAUCAUGCUAUGCUUAACUGCAGCAUAUGAACAAACAUAACUAUAGCUAAAAACAACAACUGCUAUUCACUUUUUAACUUUUUCAUUCUUUAUUUUCACAUAUUCAAAAGUAUUCGUCAAAUUUAUGUUAUACAUCAUUUUAUGGUAUUCAUUAAAUAUAUAUCAUCCUCUUCAUUUUUACAAUUGGAUGCCCUCAUUAUGAAACCAAAUGAUAUAUAUCACCCUCUUCAUUUUUACAAAUGAUAUAACAUCUUAAUGAAGAGGCAGGUGUAAGAUUUAUUAAAAACAGAAUAGUAUUGAAAAUUCUUUCUGUAUUCACCAUUAAGAGGCUCACAAGUCACAUCUACACCUAGCUUUUAAGAAUUUCUAAGUUGUAUAGCAAGUAUAUGGAAAGGAGACUUUAUUAGGGAAACCCCUAUGCAUUCUUCAAACAUAUAUAUUCAUUCAAACCACAACUUUUUUUCUUUCUUAGAAAUAGUUGGUUAUGCUUAUUAGAUAGAAACUCUUUAUUUUAGUGCUGCUCUAAAGGUGCAAAAGUUGUCCCAAUUACAUUAUUCUCAACUCAAGACUAUGCUAAUUAGCCUUUUGUCUCAUCACAUCUAUUAGAACCGCUUAGGCUAUAAUACUGAAAACUAAACAGUGCAAAUUGAUUAGAGAAGAAAACGCAAUUAGCAUGUUAACAAAAUAUCACAUUACAUAUAUGAAAAUAGUAGAAGCAACUUAAUUAAAAUGGAGGAAAAAAAGCUUACAUUAGGUUGAUCUAGGUAGAGGUAAUGGUUGCCUCUCAUCAUGCCCCACUCGAUGAUUGGCUUGGAAAUGUGCAUAAUAUAAAAUAAAAUAAAAUAAAAUAAAAAGAGCAAUCAGUUGAAUGCAUAAGAGACGCUAAAAAAAUAAAAUAAUAUAUAGUAGUUUAUUCCAUUAAGUUUAUUGUAGUCCUAUUCUUAUAUAUGACUGUGCUUUGCUAAAACAAUAUGCAUGAUGUAUCCUAACUUUGCAGAAAAACUUGCAACAAAGUAAAUUAAUAUGUUUAAAGAAUGCAUAGGUGGAGAUGCGACUAUUAGGAUUUUAAAGGGGAUGUUUAAAGAAUGGAUAGAUUUAGAUGUGACUAAUAUAAGUAAAGAAUGCAUAGUAUAGCCUCUUAAGAAUGCAACAAAUGUGAAGGAAUAGGAGACUUUAAAUUUAAUUAGAUUCUCAUUCUGCAAGCAUUCCUCAUGAAGAAACCACAUCAGCAACAUGAAUGCACACCAAAAGAAUACAAGAAUUAAUAUAUUUCACAAAAGUUAAUUUUUAUUAUGAAAGGGAAGAUGAUUACACAGUGAAAGAAAACUUGAAUCUUCUAAUCUUAAUGCAAUCUACAACAAAGGUGUAAACAUAGUGGUUACGAGUUGGUUAGGUAUUUAUAUGGUGUUUCCUUUGGAUCUCCGCGACCAUCUUUAUCAGUUUUCUCAUAUGGCUGGAUUACCACGGUACACACAAUCUUUUUUUACUGGUAUUUGGUUUGCAUUUGUUUGGAUCAUUUGGAAGGCGCGGAAUGAACGUAUUUUUAAAGAUGCGCUUACACAUCCUUAUGCUCUUGUCGAGAAAGUAAAAUUACAUUCUUUUUUGUGAGUGAAGGCAAAACAUCCAUCUUUUAGCUAUUGUUAUUAUGAUUGGUGGAAACACCCAUUGCUAUGUCUAGGCUUCACUAAUCACUAGAAUAGAUUUGUUUUGUGCCUUUCUGUUUGUUCUGGCUCUUUGAUUUUGUAAACUUUGCUCGGUGAACCACUUAUUUGCACACCUUUGUGCAGGGUGUUUUUACCGAUGUUAUUAAUAUAUAUCAUUUUGUUUGUUAAAAAAAAAUAAAAAUAGUGUAGCAAAAAAAUUCUGCAAAAUUGGAAUUUGGAGGCAUCUUUGUUGCAUUACCAGACGUAUUUAUUUUAAAAUUUUGAGAUCAAAUUAAUUUAGAUCAUAUCUUAAGUACUAAUUGAUAUAUUUUCCCACUAUGCAUAGGUGGCAAAUGCAACAUUAAAGAAUCUAAUGAGGGUGAUGGUGACUCCAGGACUCACUAUGUACCAUCUCAAUAACCAUUUACAGGUAUUUUCCCAUUUGAAAUUAUGUUAAUGAUAAAAUAUAGAGUUUGAGUUUGGUUUUUUGUUAAUGAUAAAAUAUAGAAAUGGAAAUGCCAACAGUUACACUGACUGGUGGCGGCACCCUUUAUUAUGUAUGGGUUUAGGAUUUAGUUCUUUUUUUGUUGAUAUCUCUUUAUUGUGUUUUUUGCCAACAGACAUUUAACUUUGUAUUUCUUUUGAGUGGUUCUCAUUUGCACUCCUUGUGCGUGGUGAAUCACUCUUGUUGAGUUUAAUUCCAUUUUAGCUUUUUCAAAAAAAAAAAAAAAAAAUGGAAAUGCCAACAUUGGCAUUUACAAAUGACGAUCAAUACUAUUCCUAUCUAGAUUGUAACUGAUGCAUAAGGACAUGUUAACCAAUUUGGAACAUGAUUUCUUCAGGUCACAAAAAUUUACAAUUUAGAACUGAUGCUCAAGUAAAAUACUUACAAUCGGUACUUUUGAAGGCGCAUGAAGCACUUGCUGGAUACAAUUAUUCUUCUAUAGUUGGUGUAGAACACUCUAAUGUCAUAUUCUUCUCUGUUCUACAUAUAUUCUCCCAUCCUAACUCAAUAUUUUUGUUGCAUCAAUCAUGGUUGAUUUUUGUCAUUCUACAAAUCAGAGACAUAUCUUAAUUGAUUUUUGCAAAAUACAAUGACAAAAGCAAAGAUGAUUAACUUUCGUUGACUGAGCAUUUGAUGUGACAUAUGAAUCCUAGACAAGAACACAUGAAAAAAAUUGGUGGUUCAUAAGAGUAUUAUCAUUUAUGAUGUAUGCAGACAUCCCAAGCAAGAUUUGUAAUGACUUAUUCCAAAGUCAAGAAGCCAUCUAACCUUACCAUUUAUAUCAUUAUUUUAAAAAAAUCUAUUUUUGAAAAGAAAAUAAGAAGAAAAAUUGCAGUAGUUUGAUUUUGGAAACUGAGGUGGAGUAGAAAAUACAAAUAACAUGUUUGGCACACUUUAGUUCAAAAUUGUUAAAAUGUUCUGCUCUUUGCAUUCAAGUUAGUUUUUUUUUGGUUACAUAGUUGUUGCAUUCAAGUUAGUUUAAGAAAACAAUAGAGUUCUAUACUAUUACAUAUGUCAUUAAUGAAAACUACCUAAUGUGAAUUUUUUCAAAUCCAAAUUUAAAUUGCAAAAAGAGAAAACUAAAACUAAAAAAACAUGUUUUUCUAAAAAGGGAUUUGUGAUUGAAACAUAAAUCGGUCCAAAAAUCAAAUCAAGCAAUAAAUAAAUCUAACUCCUAGGUAAAUUAUACGAUGAAAUUUGAAUAUCAAAAUAAAAAAUAUUAGGGCUUCAUGAAAAUUAGGACUUUCAGCAGCAUUUGUAGAACAAUGGAUACUUACACAUAAAAUUGUACAGGAGAAGGAGAGCAUGAAUGAUAUGUUUCUCCAUUGUUGAAACUAGGCUGGAGUUUUCUUGGAAACUCUGACUUUAAUAAGCUUGCUUUCGGCAUUGGUGUGCAGCCCCAUUUGUGUUGCGGUUUUCUCUAUUCCAUUCCAAAGUCGAACAAAUUCCAUGCCUUAGCAAUAUUCAUAUUAUGUUCUCAAGUUGACAACUGAGAAAAUCAACAAAUAGAGCCAAAAUGAUUCAAAACAUAUUUGAAGAAAAGAAAAACAAAUAUAUAAUUGUACAUAACACACAGUAAGAGGAAACCACUCAUAUAAAAGGCAACCACAAAUCAAAGAAAGGCGUGCAAAAUGAUCUAGAUAAAGAAAUGUGAAAAAAGUUUGGAUUACCUUUUUUGCUCAAUUGAUGAAACGAGGUUGAAUUGCAUGAAAACUCCGUCAAAAGAGAUAACCACUUUUCAAUCUGAUUUGUUAUUGUUGAACUUUAAUUUGUUUUUGAAAUUCAACUUAAACCUACUUCAUUCGAUUCGAUGCUCGAUCGGAAUUUAAUCAUACCGUUUCAUAAUUACAUACCACGAAUCACUAUACUAUUGCUUUUAUAAAUCAUUUUUCUGAAUAAGAAUAUUUGACUUAGUACUUACAUAAAAAUGAAUUAAAAAAUAAUAAACAAAAUAAACUAUAUGUGUCGUCUUUACUCAAAAAGUUUGUGAAUUCGCAGUAAAAAAAUUUGAAUAGUUUUUUUUUCAAUAAUUUGAUAUGUAAUAUUGAUGGCAAUUUUCGCAAGUGUACGAAAUCGUGCAAGUAGUAAUUAAAACGGUAAGACCGAGUAUCGAACUCGAGGAUUGCGGUUUACUGUUGAAUAGGAUUUAUAACUUAAUUGAACAAAAGGUUACGAGAUUUGUUUAAUCGCAAUAAUGAAAGUUACGUAAAGUAAAUUGAUUCAAACUUAAUGAGAGAAGAGCGUUGGGGAUGAGUUUCACCUGAUUAUUGCCUAAACCUAUUAACUUGAUUAUCACAAUUGAAUCAACUUAUUUAAUUGUUACUGAAUUCUCUAUAAUAUUCGUGUCCUAAUUCCUUAGUGACAGAACCUUUAAUCCUAAAAUAAAAACCUAAUUCCUUAGUGAAUUUGAAGAUUAGAAUUAAGCAUGAACAACAAGAAUUCUCAACCGGUUCCAAGGGUUUGCACCUAUUCCUAGAUUGCAAAGGCAAGGAUCUCUUAUCUCAAGCGUUUAUAAAUUCCACUUUCGUUUCACAAUAUAAACCGUAAAUCAAUUUAAAGGUGAUCAAUCAAUAAAAGUAUUAAGCAUGGAGAUAAUUAAAACAAUUCAAUAAGUUUCAUCAAUAAUUAUGAUCAAAUCACAUGGCAAAGGUACUCAUCUAGGUUUACUCAUACCCAAUAAUGGAGGGUUUAGUUACACAUAGUGAUUAAGCAAGAGAAAGGGAUAAAAGAGAUAUUACAAGAACAAUUCAUGAAUGAUUCUUGAUAAAUCUCCUCCAAUGGUGCUCUAGAUCACUUCUGUUGUGUUUUCUAUGCUUUUCUUCUCCCAAAAAUGUGAACCCUUAAUUCAGAAACGCACUUUUCUAUAAAUAGGCAACUUAAAAUCGGCCACCGAGUCUCAAAAUCGGGGCCCGAAAUCAGAAAAACGCGCCCAGCAGAUCAUGAAAUCGGCGCCCGAUUUUUCCAGUGAUGCAGCCAUUCCAGUGUCUUGAGAACCUAUUCCAGUGGCUUGAAAUCUUCGUUUUUGAGUGCUUUCAGCUUGAAGAUCUUGAUGAAUUACCUUAAAAAUAUAUGAAAAAGUGUCUACAAAACUAGUAAUGACAUAGUGUCAUCACAACCCCAAACUUGCAUUGUUACUUGUCCUCAAGGAACCAACUUAAAAUGAAAAAAUAACAGUAGAGUAACACUUACCCCACCAACGAUCAUGUCAAAAGUUCAUCUCCCUUGUUAACAAAUGAUGAGCUAACUUGCUUGGUAACACAUCUAUUCCACAACUUCUCGCAACAAUAUUGAAUAUAACAGGGUUCACUCAGUCGACAUGUAGAACUACUAUAUUACCAAAACUUGAAAAAUUUCUAAGCAUCAAUCAAAGUCAAUAUUAUGUACACACUUUUAAGGACUUUUCAGGUUAUAACGGGGCUUAGGUUAGGGGUGGGAUAAUUUGGAAAGUAGGUUUCAGAAAAACAACGGAGUUAGACAUCAUCCCACGGAUCUAAAAUACACCACGCACCAUAACACCAUAUCACAAUUGAAUCCGGGGACUAGAGAGAACUAUUAAUGACUUGAAUAACUGAUCACUUGUCUUGAAGCAUUUUUUUUUUUUUUUGAGCUGCAAAUUUGACAAUUCAACUUAUUUUUAUCAUGCUUAUUUUUUUAUUUUUAUUUUUAGCACAAAGUGAUCUCUUUAUUAUUUUCUUCUUUCUCUAGUACCCCUACCCCAAACUUAGAAUGUUGCUAGUUCCAAAAGCAACCCCAAACUUGAACUUUUCAAUCAUAACACACAAAAACAUGCCUAACUCCAACAAAAUUUUGGGUACAUUCCUAAGGUCUCUAGGCUUGUAAUGUGGUUAGUCACCGAAACAAAAGGGUCUAAAUCCUAGUGGCUCAACUUGGUUUAAACAAAGGAUAAUUCAAUAUAAACAAAGGUGGGCUACAAAGGCUCAAGGUACAAGCAAUUUGCCUUAGUGUGUACAACAUAUGACUAAUCAAUUACAAAGAAAAAUCGCAAAUCUCAGAAAUAGCACCUACAUGGAAACACUCAUAUUUGUAAAAAUUGAAAAAUAAAUUUAGGCCAUAACCUUACAAGCUGAGGUUUCUGGAAGUUGUGGCUACCUAAACAUCUUUCCUGUCGUACGCUUCCCGCAUAAAAUCAUGCAAGCACUACCUCCUUUGAACUUUUGACAAACCAUUGAUGAAGUCUUUGUUGCUGAAUUGGUGAAUUUCAAGAAAAGUAAAUUCAUUAAUAAUAAACAAGUUCAGAUGCAUUACAAAAUAGGGGAAUCAUCAAAUCACAAACCAGACACUUCUCAAGUGAACUCCAUACAAAAGUUCAUACUAACGAAAAUAACUAAAACAAAUAACAUAAGCAAAUACUAAAAGUAAUAUAAAUAGUAAAUAUCUAGGCUAGACAAGGUGCCCAAAUCACUGUUGUGCUUCUGACGACCCUCCUGGUCCUGAAGGUGGAAACAGAUAGUACAUAGGCUGUGUGUCUGCAUCAGGAUGCCUCUCGGCUUGAAUCCUAUAGUACUCCGCCCUAAUACGCUCCUCUGCUCUAGCUCCCCUCUGCCUCUCCUCUGCAAAGUAGUUCUCCAUCUCAAGUGGGCUAGCAAACCUGUCAUAAGCAUUAGUCCUUGCAACAGAACUCUGACGGUAAAGCUCAGCUGCCUCAUAGAAAGGUUGCGGGAGUGCUGGUGGUGGCAUCCGAUCCCUAGAAUAAAUGUCUUGGGCCCAGUUUGCCAUGGCAUAUGUGUACUCCACGAAAUAGGGUGGAAGACCCUGUUGCUGCACCUGUGGUAGCGGCACCUGCUGUGUAGGCACCUGUGGGACGUGAUCUUGCUCCAUCGCCUGGUGCUCUUCUGCUGCCCUAAGCUUCCUGUCAUAAUUUUCCUGUUCUUUCUCAAAACCUUCUAAAACAGAGUCUGAUAAAAACCUCAAAGACCUCACAUACACAUCAGUAGGUUCAACUGGAACCUGAGCUGCCUGGCACAAUUUGUUAAUAACAGCAAUGUCCCAGAGUAUUCUUAUCAGUACCAAUUAGCUUCCACAAACUAUCAGUCAUCAGCCCGGCCACAUCUAUAUCCUUAUCAGCUAUCAUUGCCAGCAAAAUAAUCACUCGGUCUCUGAUCAUCUCAGAUGACGACGAAGUUUGCUCAAUAACAGUCAAAAUAAAUGAAGCCCAUGCCUUAUACUCUGGCAGCAAAUCGAUAGUGUUAAUCCUCUGAGGUCUAUCCACAGGUCCUAUCCACCCCUUCCCAUCUCUCAUAAGUCCCUCAAGAAAUCCAUCCCACUCAUUUCGACUUCUGAAAGUAUCAUAUACCUGCUUCCGAUAAGCAACAUCACAAGUCUCUACAUCCCUCAACCCCAGCACUCACUUAAUAUCCCUCUUCUGAUAACCAACCCUCUUCCCUCGCACAUAAGUGUAACCAUUUUUGAAAUUCUGGCACGUUCGACUUACAAUGUUUUAUGCGAUGUUCCAACACCAAUUAUGCAGACACAGAUGUUGAACAAUAUGAUCAAAACAUUAAGCUAACAACAGACAGUUAAAAACACAAAAUGCAAAGAAAAGAAAGAAGGCAAAGAGAGUUGUUAACCCAGUUCGGUGCAAUGUCACCUACUCUGGGGGCUACCAAGCCAGGAAGAAAAUCCACUAGUGUAGUCCUUAUUCAAUAGCUCUCAGCAAACUCCUCGUUUGCAAUAUAUGACCUAGGACCUACCCGUACUGACUUCAACCUAGGAACUCCUAGAUCUGAGAUCUCAUCUCACUCCCUUACAACCAAUCACAGCCCCUGUGAUUAUCAGGUUACAAACUCAAAACAACAAGUACGAAGUUACCUUCAAACACGAUCUACCUAUCUCCUUGCUUAAAAGCUUCGGAGUAGUGCACAUGAGUUUACAACUCAACAAACAGUCCUUAGCAUUUAUCAAUAUGAUACAAGAAAGACUCACAAUAAAACAGAACUAAACUUGCAUCAACAUGAUACAAGAGUAGAGAACUCACAAAGACUUAAAACCCUAAAAGCUCUAAACUUGAGAUGACGGCUUGAAUACUUCUUCAAGUCUUGCAGCCUUCUAUAUAUACUAGAGCAAUGCGGGUCAUAAACUUACUUGGGCUCCAUAUCAAAUCGGUGAUCCAUUUCUCAGUCAAAGGACCGGAUAAGGAAACUUCCUAAAAGAUAGGCACAUCUUUAGGAACAUUAUGAUCACCCUUAAAGACUUUCCUAAGUCGUUUGCACUUCCUCAGGAAAUCACAGUUGUUCUGAUCUUUAUCAUAAACACGCAGGUUUGACCAAUCACAAUGAUGGUGUGGAUUCCUUAAAACAAGGGAACGCGUGCGUAAAAGUAGGCAAGGCACAGAACAAACAAACCCAGCCUUGAUGUUGGAACAUUGUGUUCCACAUCUGAAGUGAAUAUUUGUUUUAGGCAAAAGUGAAGCCAACAUACAAAUAUCCAUCAAUCUCCCCCUUUGGCAAAUUUUUGGCUAAAACAACUUCAGGCCAAUCCAAUCAAACCAGAGAGAUAUUCACACACACAACCUUUUCUUCAAUCCUCACAAAAUAAACAACCAUGAAGAAAAGUACACAUACUCAGAUUUCCAAGUAGUACCAAAAGAUAUAAGUCUUCAGUCACAUCAUAAUCUUCAGGGUCUCAGAAUCUACUUUCAAAAUUUUUCACAAAUAAUCAACAUAUGAAAUAGUAGAUAAGAGAAAUAGGUACCAAACAUGAAAAACAGAGACUUGCAGCAGCGGACAUACAAGGGAAAAAUAAAUUCCCAUAAACACAUUGUAAUAUCUCGCUGAAUUUGUAAUAAACUGUCGAAUUAGUUGAGCAUGUCAGAACGGAAAUAAUUUCUAAAGGGUUAAAUAUUUAUUGAGAAAAGCGAAGAUAUUCGGUAAAUAUCUCGCAUAUCAUUCCAACGGACUUAAGGAAUUAAAGGGUUACAAAUUAACAAAGGAUAAUUGUGUCUUUUCCCUUGAAGGGCAAAAUGGUAAACUUGCUAAUCAAGAUUUUUUUUUAAGUGGACCAAGGCUAAUUCUUCUCUCACUUUCCAUAUUCUUCUUCUUGAUUCUAGAACAUUUUCUUCUCCCUUCUCCCUCUAAGAAUUCGGUUCCCUCCCUAUACUAUCUUAACCACCAAAACUUCAUCAAAUUACCAUGCAUUCACUACAUGAAUGGUACACAUAAGUUUCUAGAGGUGGUUUAAGCAAGAAAAACACUUCAAAACUUUUCACUCCCUUCUUAAUUCCUCAAAACCGCCCCCUCCUUCAACUUUCCAAUUCUUCAUUUCUCUUUCAAAUUUCAUGGGAAACCACAUAUAAGCUUGCUCUAGGGGACUCAAGAGUGGUAUGAUUACAAGGUAAGUGACAAAAAUCCAUUUUCUCUCUCUUUCCCUUAUGAACCGCACCAUACACACACCAUGUGUAUAAACCCCUUUUCAUGGAAAUUUAUUUAAUUCAAACUUUGGUGUAUGUUGUAUAUGUAAUUUGAAAAUGAUUAUGUGUGGUAAUGGUAUUUAGAAACAUGGUAUGAAGAAUGAUAGAAAGUUAGAAGCAAUGGUGUGUGAAUUUAGGACUUGAGAGUGCGUAAAUUGUUCUAAUAAGCCAUUAUAAGUGAUCACUGAGUAUAGCACGUUGGAAUCUCGUAUAUUUGGUAUAGAAGGUGUGUAAACACGUUUGUAUUGUUUCUGGAAAAUUUGAGCAGAAAUUGAAUUGUUUAGAGGGCAUAAAUUGUCAGUUAAGCUGUUUUGAGAAAAAUGCCUUAAAAGACUAAGUUGUGAAUUUAAACUGCUGUAUAAGUGGAUCAUAGGGCUUACUAUACAUUUUGGAACAUCUGUGUUAAAGUUUGGGUCGAAUUUGAUAUGAAAAAAAUAAAUAAAAAAAUCAUAAGUUGCUAGUUAAACCCUUUGUAUAAUAGCUUAAGUCGGAAUUUAAGUUGUGUCAGGUAUUAUCUUGUGAUGAACAGUUUAGGAGGGAUAUGUUGAAUUGGUAUAUGAGCAAUGGAAAAAGAAUAAGCUGUUCUAAUCAUGGUAAAAGAGCUUAAAUGGUAAUUAAGCUGUUUUGGAGGUGCUUAAAUAGCCAAACGACAAACUUCGGGUGCAGGGACUGGAAUGAAUUUUUUUUGUAUAUGCUGGUUGAUGAAGUAAGAGUAUGUCACAAAUGAGUUGAGUUGUUUCGGAAAGAGCAAGACCUAUAAGCCAAGACAUAUGCUAUUUUGGAAAAUGGACUAUGGAGUUUUGGAGCUAGCAAAAGCUGCAAAUUGUGGAUAAGCUGCUUGUAAUUUCGGGACUAAUGCCAAGGUGAGUUCCUUUAGCUUAGAACCCACCUUUGGGAAUGGAUUAUGAUUAUGUUAGAUUAAUGAGAUAACAUGAAUAAUUAGACCAUUUUUAUGAUUUCUUGUCUUUUGUGCAAGCAUGACUACUAUGCCAUAUGAAUGAUACAUUUGAAACAGAAUAGAUAUGAGAUAGUAGAAUGAUUAUUUCUGAACUAGGUACAAUUAUUAGUUAUUCUAAAAUCUCUUUUAUGUUAAUAAGUAUGUUUAUGUUAGCAUAAUUGUUGGAGGGAAAUUUUAUCAAGACAAUUGAUAUGUAUAAUUAUGGUAAUGAUUUGAAAUACAGUCUAUGAGUAAUAUGCUCACAGUGAAUUAUAGAAAAUCACAGAAAAAUGGAAAUGAGUAGAAAAACUUGAAAUGAGUAACAUGAUCAUAGAAAAAGAAAGAAAGAAAGAAAGAAAUAAUAAAUUUGAUAAAAACUCCGUUUGCUACAACGAAGAGAUAAUGUAGCCUAUGAGGAACGGCUCAUAGUAACAAAUGUGAAACUCCGUUUGCUACAACGAAGAGAUAAUGUAGCCUAUGAGGUACGGCUGAUAGUAACAAUAAUGAAAUAGUUACCGUUCACCAUAACGAAGAAAUAAUAUGAUAUAUACGCAUAUAAUGAAAUGUAUAACUAAUGAUACUCAUAUUAACAUGAAAAUUAUGUUUAGUAUGAAUUAGCUACGAAGCAAUAUCUUAUGGGCAUUUUGCCAAUCAUUGGAAAUGAUGAAUUUUAGUUACGGAACUCCGGCUCAGUUAGCCGAAACUAGUUAAUAUAAAAAAAAAAAGAAUCAGAGACAUACUCAAAUAAGUAUGUCAAAGUAUAAGCUAUACUAGAAUACGAUAUAUUGGAUUUAUGUUUAUGAUUAUUAUUAUGAUUAUGGUGAUUAUGUUUAUGAUUAAAGUUAUGAGUAUGACUGUAUUUAUUAUUUAAUCAAUGUAGUAUUUCAGACAGUGAUUCUAGUUAUCCCAUUAUCGCGCUCAGUUUUGCAUAAUAAAAUUGUAUAAACCCAAAAUAGGUUGAGUUUAGUAACAGAUGGCGAUCCUAGGUUCCCCGAGGUUGCCUAUAGCCUAGGAUAGGUGGAACUCACUGAGACAUCUUGUCUCACCCCAAUCCCUUUUAUUUAUUUCAGAUAUACAAGUUAUUAUACGACAAGAUGGUUCGUGAUGAAGAAGAAGUAGCUUGACCAUAUAGAGUACACGUCAGUGGAACUAUUUCGGAGGUAACAGGCAAGAAAUUCUAUGAUUUGUUCAGAGAAUAUCUAUUUAUUGUAAUUUUAAUGUAUCCGACGCCAAGUUUAACACAAAUGCUAGAUAUCCUAGGUGAUUUCUAGUAGGGGUGUUUCACACAUGCAGAUGCUACUCGAUGUUUUAACCUUCCAUCAAACAUUCACACAUACUGGAAAAAAUAAAUUUCCAUAUACAAAGCAACUGCAGAACACACACUGUCUUCACAGAAUCACUCCUCCUCAAAGAUAUAACCAUUGAGUGAUUACUGCACAAACACUCCCCCCUGAACUUAUGCAUAUAUACACAAACCUUCAAAGCAGACAUAUGUUGAAGCUUCUAUUGGCACAUUAUGAGAACAGGCAUGCAUACAUAAAAGCAGUAAUAGCUCAAAAACGCAGACAAUCAUCAUAUAGAUGUGUUCCAACAUCUCCUGACACAUUGUGUCUGCUUAAACUUAUUCAGGUAAACACACAAGCACGUAGGCACGUGCACAUAAAACCAUACUGGCAUUCUUCUUUUACUCCCCCUUUUUAGCCAGAAAAUGUGCCAAAAUAGGAACCAAAACAGCUAUAGCUCCUCAUGUAGACAGAUACCCAGCUUGCUCCAUAAUACCUCAAAUUGUUUGACAUCCAAAGUUUUUGUAAAAAUGUCAGCCAAUUGUUCUUCAGUAGUGACAUGCUCCAAAGUUACUACCUUAUCUUCAACAAGAUUCUUAAUGAAGUGAUGCCGGAUAUCAAUAUGCUUCGUUCUGCUGUGUUGAAUGGGAUUCUUGGAGAUGUUGAUUGCACUUAAGUUAUCACAGUACAAUGUUAGAACACUUUGUGAAACAUCAUACUCUUCCAGCAUUUGCUUCAUCCAGACUAACUGAAAGCAGCUACUUCCUGCAGCAAUAUAUUCUAGAUACUAGAUUGUUGAUAGGGACACAGAGUUUUGUUUCUUGCUGAACCAAGAUACUAGAUUGUUUCCAAGAAAGAAACAGCCUCCUGAAGUACUCUUUCUGUCAUAUGCACUACCUGCCCAAUCUGCAUCACAAUAGCCAAUCAAUUUGGAAUUGUCACUGUGAGAGUAUAGAAUUCCAUAGUCUGUGGUGCCGUUUAUGUACUUUAGAAUCCUUUUUACUUGUACCAGAUGACUCAUUUUGGGCUCUGUUUGAUAUCUUGCACACACUCCUAGAGCAAAAGUUUUGUCAGGUCUGCUUGCUGUAAGAUAUAGAAGACUUCCAAUCAUACUUCUGUACAGGCUUUGAUCAACAACUACACCAUUUUCAUCUUUGGACAACUUUAAGUGAGUUGCUGCUGGUGUUCUCUUAUGACUAGCAUUAUCCAGACCAAAGCCUAACUUUAUCCUUCUUUGAUUUUGUAUGGUGAGAUCCGAGUAUAAUCACUGUUUUUUUUUUUUUUUUUGUGAGAAUUAUUUUUUUUUAACCAUGUCAGCAGAAAAAAAAAUUAAUUUCGAUUUUUUAUUUGUAUUUAAAUAAUUUUUUUUUAUCUCAUUUCGUCGAAAUCAAAGAAUUGUUUGGGCUUUUGGCCCAAUGCAAAUUGGAUCGCUCCAAACCCAAUUUAACCGCACACCACACAGAUCCGAUCCGAUAUAGCGCGCAAAUUGUUUGAUUGAAUUUUUUAGCGGUAUUAUACAUUUUAUUUUUCAACAAUUCUACUCAUUCCUCACUGUACAUUACUCUCACACACUCCAAUCAUCAACAACAACACUCUCAGAAGAAGAUGGCGAAUAACGAUGAGGUAGGUUUUCUUUUGUCUCUGGUUCGAUUGUCUGUUUUUGAUCUAAUUCACAAAAACAGACAAUGAUCUAAUUCACAAAAACAGACAAUCGAACCAGAGACAAAAGAAAACCCUACCUCAUCGUUAUUUGCCAUUCUUCUGAGAGUGUUGUUGAUGAUUGGAGUGUGUGAGAGUAAUGUACAGUGAGGAAUGAGUAGAAUUGUUGAAAAAUAAAAUGUAUAAUACCGCUAAAAAAUUCAAACAAUUUGCGCGCUAUAUCGGAUCGAAUUUGUGUGGUGUGCGGUUAGAUUGGGCUUGGAGCGAUCCAAUUUGCAUUGGGCCAAAAGCCCAAACAAUUGUUUGAUUUCGUCCGACGAAAUGAGAUAAAAAAAAUUAUUUAAAUACAAAUAAAAAAUUGAAAUUAAUUUUUUUUUUUCUAGUGACAUGGUUAAAAAAAAUAAUUCUCACAAAAAAAAAAAAAAAAAAAAAAGUGAUUAUUAUCGGAUCUAUGAAAACGGAGAAGGGAAAUUCCAUCAUGGUUGUUGAAUUUGUGAGUUGAGGUUUGGAAUGGAUGAUAGAUCGAUGAAGAGGGAGAAGAAGGGAGGAUUCUAUCAUGGUUAUUAGAUUUGUGACGUUAGGCUGGAAAUGGAUGAAAGUUUUGUGAAGAGGGAGAAAGGAAGAUUGUAUCACGGUUGUUGUUGGAUUUGUGAAUGGGAAGAAGAGAGAAACACAAAGAGGAGAGCGCAUAUAAUAAGACAUGAAGUAUGAAAACUGCUGUGAAUGAAAGGUAUUUAAAAGCAACGCAGCCGCACCAACACAAACUAGGGUUACAUACAAGGCAAUAAAAACCGGACCGGACCGUCCGGUUCAACCGUGAACCGAACAUAGGUCCGGUCCGGAAUAGCAGGAAAACCGCUUUGUUUAAGAAUCGGUAGAUGAACCGGAAAACCGGUGAAACCGGAUAAAACCGGCGGUUCACGAGGUUUUAUGGGUUGGACCGUGUUUGACCUAUUUUCUUCACACAAAAUCAAAAACAAGAUGAAAACCAUUGCCUAAAUCUCAGUUCUCUUUUACGUUUCUUUUCACACAACACAAAGAAACCCUCAUUCACAGUAUUCACUAUUAAUUAAAGAAAGAUUGCAAGGAGAUGAAGAGAAAAUUGAACAAUCAUUUGGUUCAAGAAGAAGAUGCACAUAUUCAGACGAGAGAAGGUGAAGAACAGUAGAUUAAAAAUAGAAGGAAAAAAGAAAAAUGAAAGAUGAACUAAUAGAGAGGAAGCUGUGGCGGCUGUUUGUUAAACAGUCUGAUUAACCCUAAUCCUGCCUUUUUUGAGAGGUUUAAAAAAUCUUCAUGAAAAAAAAGCUCUGAAGGGGUUUGAACCCGCGACCAUCUGCAUACAUCCAACAGAUUUUGCCACUUCACCCGUAACUGUUUUAUUGACUUAUUUUGCUUCCACUAACUGAUAUCCAAUACCAAGCCCCCCUUUUUAAAACCCCAAUUAAUCCCAUUUCCUCUCUUUCCAGAAUUGAACGCUACACGGUUCUGAAAGGUUUUUCACCUCAUUUCUGCGAUCUGACUGAACCCACAAGGCUGCCAUGUACGUCCCUUUCUUCCCCAUUAUCCUUCGAUUUCUGCUCAAAGGUGUGAUUGUUAUGGAGAUUUCGUCCAUGGUAUGUUCACUAAACUAAUUUUCACAUUAAUGCUAUUUUAUUCAUUUUGAUUUUGUGGAUUUUGAUUGCCUCAGUUUUCAUGAUAAAGGGGAAUGCUUGAAAUCCUAUUAUGAUUUAUGAUUGUAAUCAUUAUAUUCAUUGUGAUUGUGUCAAUUACCUUGCUUCCCAAUGCUUCAAAUUAGGGUUUCAAUAUUUGGGGAUUAGAUGUUUCAAAUUUGUUCUUAUGCUUUGUUGUUGUUUAUGUUUAUUAUUUUGCUUUAAUUUUCUUUAUCGUUAUUCAAGUCUCUGUUUCAAAUUUUGAAUAUGCUUCUCAAAUUUUGAAACCUUGGUGUAAAGACACAAGAUAAACUAUAUUUUGUUUGUCAAAUUUUGAAAUAGAUUUGUAGAAAGUAAAAUUCUAUGUUAUUUCUAUUGUUCGUCAAUCCUUGAAUUUUGAAAUUUAGAGUCUUCACGUUAAAAAGAGGGUGAAUUAGGCCUUAAAAAUAGGAAAAAUUUCCAGCUGAAAUUAUUAUUAUUAUUAUUAUUUCCUUAAAUCCUAGGCAUCCAUUUCUUCCUCAUUUUGCAUCGAUUCUCUGCUCAAAGAUGUGAUUGUUAUGCAGAUUUCCUCCAUAAUAACUUAUUAAUGGUAUGAUCUCAUAUUAAGGAUUCUAUUAAUUCAAUGAUUUUUUUCUAUUGUUUGUCAAACCUUGAUUUUUUUUUUUUUAAAUUGGGGAUUUUAUUGUUUUACCUAUUGUUUGUCAAUCCUUGAAUUUUCAGAUUUAGAUUUUCCACGUUUUCUGAUAUAGGAUGAGAUUUUUGUGUUGAAAUUGUGAUUAUAUUGUAUAUAUAUUGAAUCUGUUUGGAAUAGAAUGUUUUUUUUCCCAAUAUAAAUAAAAUUUCCUUCUUAUUGAAAGAAUACCCUCAUAUUUUCUGCCUCAUUUAAAGAUCUUUUGAGUUUGCAUUUAUUUCCUAUUAUUAUUAUUUAGGGUGAUUUAGGCCUUAAAAAUAGGGAAAAUUUCCCUAUUAUUAUUGUUAUUAUUAAGAUUAUUUCCUUGAAUCGUGCUUAGUAGUUUUUCUCCAGCUUGAACACACGUGUGCAAAUGUUGUUACUUGAAAGUCCAUGAAAAUAGACACUCCAACCAUGAAUAGUGUGUAGUGGGCUUUGAUAAAUCCUUCAAAAUGUAAUCCUGAACAAGAACACGUACAGAUGUUGUUGCUUAAGAAUCCUUGAAAAUAGCCACUCCAACCAUGACCAAUGUGUAGUGGGGUUUGAUAAUUCCUUGAAAAUAGCCACCACUACAAGUCAUUGGUCGUUCCUCAUGAGAAACCAGUAACUUUCUAAUUCUCUUCUCUUCCUAUAAAUAGACACUUUCCUCAAGUUCUUAUUCACAGUAUAUUCUCCCCUCUCUAUUAGAAACAAAUAUCAGGCAAAGUAUGUUGUAGUAUUUUACAAAAAUAAUAUACUUACAUUUAUGUUUCAGAUUAUUUACUGUAUGCAAUGUUACUAAUGUGUAUCACAUCAAUUGUAGGAUGUCAAUGAUGCAAGUUACUGCAAUCUCUGACAUUGUGUGUGGAAACACGAGCAUCAAAAUUAUAUGCUAGUCACCAUAUCUUUAAUUAUAUUCCAUCUUGUAUCUCUUCUAUUUUGAUGAAUGAAAUAAUAUAACUUUAUUACUGUCAAAAAAAAUCAUGAACCUCGUUUAUACAACCUUUGUUUAUUUUUUUUGCUUAAAUACAGUUUUACCCCCUAUUUUGAUUGAAUUUGAAUUUUACACCUCUUAUUUUGAAACUCAGAAUUUUACCCCUUAUUUUAAUUGAAUCUGGAUUUUGUCCCCCCUAUUUUAUGUUUUUCAGGAUUUUCACCCCCACCCAUCACAUUUGAGUUCAUUUUGGCUAAUAUGGUGGUGUUUGACUUGGUUUAAAUUAUAUUAAACAAAUAUCUAUCUAAUCAACUAUUUAUAUAAAAUGUACUUAUUUUUACUUUUUAUUUUUUUAAUGAAAAAAAUUUGUAUAAUUUUUUUCUUUAGAAAAAACAAAAAAGAUACUAGAAAAAAUGUAGGAUAAACAAAAGAAAAUGUAAGACUAUGAUUUUUUUUAAAAAUAAAUAAGAAUAUAAAGAACCAGAAAAAUAAAGAAACAAUAAAAAAAUAUUAAUUCAGUAAAAAAAUAAAAAGAAAACGCAAAAAAUAGCAAACAAUAAAAAUAAGAGAAAAAAUUCAAUUAAAAAUACGUGAAAAAACUAAUUUGUACCUCUAAAUAUUUUCUAUUUUCAUACAAGUUUUAUACAUUUUUUUUAUGAUUUGUUUAAGUAUUUUUCCAGUUUUUAUUUCGAUUUGUUUGAAAAAAAAAAUAUUCCAAAUAUUUUCAUAAAAAAAUAACAUUUAAUAUAAAUAAUUAAUUAUGUAGAUAAUUUCCUAAAAAAAUAUUUAAUAUGAAGAUAUUUAUAUAAUAUAAUUUAAGUCAAGUAAGCACUACCGCAUUAACUAAAAUAAACUCAAAUGUGGUGGGGGCAAAAUCUUUAUAAAAUUUAUGUUUACUAAUGAUUUGUAGUUUUGUACUAUCAAAUUUGGAACUUGAUGAUAGCUACCGGUUAAUGUGCAUAAUAUAAAUAUAUAUUAAAUUUUGGGAGCAUUUAAAAAAUUGCAUAAAAUUUAUUUGUGACAGAAUAUUUUAUAUUAUUCUGUCCCAAAAGAUAUUUUAAAAAAUAAAUUAGAUUUACAUUAAUUUCAUUUUGUCCCUAACUCCGACACAACAUUGGGACGGAAUAUAAGUAUUCUGUCACAACUUUGGGACGGAAACAAAGAUUUGUUAAAAAUAAAUAACUGCAUUCCAUCUCACAUUCCGUCUCAAAUAUGUGACGGACAAAAUAAUUCCGUCCCCAACUGAUUGCGACAUCACUAUUUGUGACGAAAGAAAAAUGUUGCAAAUUCCGUCCCAGAUUUUAAUUGUGACGGAUGUUUACACUAUUGUGCGACGGAAAAUUACGUCCCAAAUCAAUGUUUUUCUAGUAGUGAGGGGACAAAAUUCAAAUUCAAUCAAAUUAGAGGGGGUAAAAUUCUGAAUUUUAAAAUAGGAGGGAUAAAAUCCAAAUUCAAUCAAAAUAGGAGGGUAAAACCGCAUUUAAGCCAUACUUUUUUGGAUGUAAUUUGUUGCAUCAUAUGGUGAAUAUUAUCAUGAAUCAAUUUUAGACAACUUUGUUUUAGUUUUUUUGGAUGUAAGUAGUAACAUAAUAUCAUCAUGAUAUUAUGAACCUCUUUGUGGUGAAAGUUUAAUGAAUAAUAUUUUGAUAUUUAAGUAUGUUCAUGUUCAUGACUAUUUUCAUCUACAAAAUAAUAUGUUGAUAGCAAGUGAAGAGAAGAGGAAAUAAUUAUGUUUUUUAAUUAAACAAUAAGGGUAUUGUAAUAAUUUCAUAAUGUCAAAUAAUUUUUUUGGAAAAAACCAUUAAACUCCAGAUUAAUCGCCCACCAUAGGUGGGUCGGAAAGCGAUGUGAAAGCAAAAAAAAAAGAAAAAGAAUUUAAAAAAAAAAAAUGACGUGUAAGUGUCACGUCAGUGCCGUUAGAGGUCACUUAACAGCAGAGACUAAAAGCUAUGACCGAAAAUUUUGUAGAGACUAAGAAGUGUGAUUUGUUUUUAUAGAGAUUAAAAGCAAAACAAAUAUUUAUAGGGACCAAAAACUUAAUUAAUACUGCAAUUAAACAUGCGACUAUAAACAAUCGAGUAAAUAGACAAUUUCUCCCCUAAAAUUGUAAGUUUCGUCAAUUACCCCAUGAUAUUAACAAAACUUCAAUUACUCCUUCAAAUUGCAUAAUGUUAGUCAAUUUGUCCCCUCUGUCAAAAAAAUAUGAAGUUUUUUUUUCGAUUAUGAACAAAUACCCCUUGAUAUUUAGCACUUAUGUGUUAAAUUUCAAGAGGGUAAUUGCUCAUAACCAAAAAAAAAAAAAAAAAAACCAAUUUUAUUUACAAGGGGACAAAUUGACCAACUUUAUGUAAUUUGAUUGAGUAAUUAAAAUUUUGUUAAUGUCAGGGUAAUUGACUAAACUUAUAAUUUCAGGAGGAAAUUGUCUAUGAGAAUUGUUGUUCCCACAUUUGGUUGGACUAUGCCACACGAGUAAAUUACUCAAAUGCUCCUCGGCAGAUAACUGCCGAAUUAUGAAACCGGCUGCAGUUAACUGCCGAGGAAAACUUCGGCAGUAAACUCCCGAGGAAAACUGAAAACUUCGGCAGUUAACUGCCGAGGAAACCUCAAAUCUGUUUUUUUAUUUUAUUUUUUAUUCUUUGAGAAUAUUUCGCCGUCUUUAUCAUUUUUGAUUGAUUUUUCUUAAUAAUUCGUUUUUAAUUUUAAUGAUUUGGCUUCCUUAUUUAUUUUAAUUGUAUUACUCCUUUAAAUCUUUUUUUUUUGUUAUAACUGCUUUGAUCUUCAACAAUAGUGAAUAUUUUAUUUCCAAAGAAUUUCACGGAAUUUUCUUCUUUUAUUUCCUUUUUACGGAAAUAUUCACAAUUAUUUUAAUUGUAUUACUCAUUUGAUCUUCUUCUUUUUUUGCCUAUUUUAUUUCCAAAGAAUUCACGAAAUUUUCUUCUUUUAUUUCCUUUUUCUUUGUUUUAGGCUUAACAUUUAAGUCCUCAAAAAACAUUUCAAUAAGUGUAAAAAUUAAGUAUUUGAAUAUUGUUUUGCAAAUUAUUUAAAUAAAUAAAAAAAAUCUUUGUACACAAUUAUUUUAAUGUAGAAAAUAUGACAACAUAUUAUACCUUAAAAAAAUCUUGUGCACAAUUAUUUUAACGAUUUUUUUAUUGUUAUUUGUAUUUAAGUAAUGUGCAAAACAAUAUUCAAAUGCUUAAUUUUUACACUGAUUUAAAUGUUAUUCUUAUUAAGAUAUAUACACAUAAGUAUAAUACUACAAUUGUUUAAAACGUACCAAAAUAAUGAUUGAAACAUUCAAAAUCAAUAAAUAUUAUUAAAGAUAAUUUAUGGUUUUUGUCAAAAAAAAAAAAAAAGUUUGUUAUUAAUGACAAUUUAUGGAUUUUGUCAAAAAAAAAAAAAACAGGUUUUCUCGGCAGUUAACUGCCGAAGUUUUCCUCGGCAGUUAACUGCCGAGGGAUAUUUGAGUAAUUUACUCGUGUGGCACAGCCAAACCAAAAGUGGGAACAACAAUUCUCAUUGUCUAUUUACUUGUAAAUAAUACUACUAGCGAAGAAGAAAUCCUAAUUCAAUUCCCAAUCAUCACAGUCACAGUAUUGUAUUUUCAUCCAAACCAAGCUAAGCCGUCGUUCAUCGUCACAAACAGAAACAGGUGCGAUAAGCUACUUUACUUUAUCAAUUAUCUCUAUCUCUCUUAUACUCUCCAAGCGAUACUUAUUUAUGUUGUAAAAUCAAAAUCAUGUGAUUUUCAUCGUUUUUUUAAAUUUAGGGUUUUGGUUUCGAUUUGUAAUUAGGAAUUUACGAUGUGGAGGGGUAACUCAGUGCGGGUUUAUAAGUGUUAGCUGGUUUCGAUUUAUUUUUAGUCUGAGUUGGAAGAAAGUGGUUUCUAGGUAUAAUAUCCGGUAGCCCUCUGCUCUGCUCCUUUUAUGAGUGGGAGGCCCAUCCCGUCAUGUGCUGGUACCAGUAGAUCUGUUGAGGCUUCUUGCUCUCGGCCGCCCAUCUCUCUUCUCUCUUGCUGGGGGAGUGUUGAGGCGUUUUAGGCUUGGUUUUGGUGCUUUUUGAGUUGUCACUUGUCACUCUUCCACUCUCCGGAAUUAUAAGAAGAUCAAUUCAGUCUUUAGGUUCAUUGUGUAUUUGAUGUAUUAGUCUAUCUUCCGACUGUUUCUUAUACUAAGACUGGAGGGACAUCCUCACUCUCACAAUUAUUGUUUUUAACAUUUUUUUCUUUUUUCUCAAAAUAAUUUUCAUUUUACAAUACCAAAUGCAACAUUUAUUUUAUUUUUUUCCACUAUUAUACACUUAUUUAAUCCUUAUUUAAUGAAUUUCAUCCAACUUAACAACUACUCCACUAACUACAAUUAAUAAGGGUGUUUUAAUAAAUGUUACUAAUUUUAAGAAUCAUUUUUUUAAUAAUCGUGCACAACCCUUAAACGACUAAUAUCAUGAGACUGAGGGAGUAUAUGUUAUAUAUUUUAAUAACUGUGUUCGUUAUUGCUUGCAGUAGCAAUGAAGAGGUGUAAAAAGCUUAAGAGUGAGUCGCGUGCAAUGAAGAGGUGUAAAAAGCUUAAGAGUGAGUCGCCUGCAAUGAAGAGGUGUACAAAGCUCGAGAGUGAGUUGCCUGAUUGUAUUAUAUCUUAUAUCUUUUCCAAGUUUGGUUUGAAGGAUUUGGUGAAAACAAGCGCAUUGUCCAAACGAUGGAUUCACGAAUGGGGAUUAAGGACGGACCUCAACUUUGAUCUUCAUACCAUGUUUGACUAUAACACAAUUCAAGACUUACCAAACACACUUCCACUCUUUCAAAGAUUUCACUUUCAAUCUCAAUUUGCCACAAGAUUGGAUCAAUUUAUGCUCCAUUAUAAAGGUGCUAUCAUCCGUUCAAUCCGAGUAAAUUUUCCAUUAGGCAAUGAACAUAGGGAUGCCAUUGAUAGAUUGAUCUCCAAAGGAAUUGCUAAGGGUGUCAAACAUAUUGAACUUCUCUUGUCAUCUGAAACAAAUGAUACUAUUGAUUCUAUUCCGCCAUACAAAUUUCCCCUUACUCUCUUAUCUGACUUUGAUUCUCUGACGUAUAUGCACCUGCAAAACUGCUUCCUACUAGAACCUUUGGACUUCUCUGGAUUCAAAAAUUUGAGAACUCUUGUGUUGCAUCUAGUUGAUGUGAAUCAGAAACUGCUUCAGAGUCUGUGUUCCAAUUGCAGCCAUCUUGCAGACUUCACCCUUGAUGAUUGUCAGUUCACUUCUAACGUGAUAAUAAACAGUCCAACAUUGCUUCGUUUGAACAUCGUUAACUGUGGGGUUAAACGUGGGGAUAACGGUGAGGUUAAAAUUCCAGAGUAUAUAACUAUCAUAAUCAUUGCAUCAAAUCUCUCAUCCUUUGAAUAUUCUUGUCAUAAACUUUUUCUAGUACACCUGAUGAACAUUCAGGCUCCUAUGUUAUCCAAGUUUAGCUUUAGAGGAAUGGAAUUUUCUAAACCUGUUGGGUUUUCUGUAUUGAAAAACGUAACAAAAAUUACUUUGGAUCGACCACUAAUUUAAGAUCUAUCUACGCACAUCUUGCCUCGUUUGUUUUUCUGAAUGUCUCCAACUUGAAGAUGUCACCUUUAUGAACUGCGUGUUCAUAAGUUCAAUAAAAAUUACCAGUACAAAGUUGCGUCAUUUCAACAUAAUUGAUUGUGGUUGGGCGAAUAAAUCUCCUUCUGAGUUAGCUAUUGAUGCAUUGAAUCUCUCAUCCUUUGAAUAUAGUGCUCAUACCACGAGGAUAAUUUCUAUUAUGGCUCCAAGGUUAUUGAAGGUUUUCUGGAAUUGUGUUGUUAGAGAGGAAGCACCACACCUUUUUAUUAAUCCAAUUGCAAGAUUAUCACAUAUUGAGAAUUUAUCUAUGGCCGUCCACCCUUCACUGGUGAGUCACUCAAAACCCAUGUUUGCUAGUUGAUGUUUAUUGUUUGUAUAUAGGUUGCCAAUCUCGGAUAGCGGUUGGUCCCAAAAUUGAGAUAACGGCAUAGUGCAUUGCAACAUUUUCUAGGUUUCUUUUAAUUAAUUUGAUCACUAGUUGCUUUUAAUUCACUUUAAAUAUUACUGUUGUAAACAGAUAAAGGAAUUAACGAAGGUCUUGGUUCGAUUUCAAAGUCUUAGACAAUUGGAGUUUAUUAUCAUGGGAGAAUAUGAUCCUAGUUGGGACUACUUUUGGAUUUUAGAUAUUGCAAUGGCUUCUGAGCAUCUCCAAAAACUUUCUCUGACGGUGAGUUAUUCAAACUCUAAUUUCUUUUGUUGGUUGUUCACUUUUUUUAUUAACUUUAAUGGAACUAGAAGUUUAUUUUCCGUAUUUAAUACUAAUGUGUUUGUCUAAACGUAUCAAGAAAUUUAUAAAUUAAAAAAUUAUUUUAUAUUAAAAAAUAGAGACAGUUUUGCAUAUAGAUUCACAUCAUAUCAUAUGAUUUAUAAUCAUCUUGAUUGAUAACUUAAUAAAUGAUCAUUGUAAUUUUUUAUUUACUUAUAUUAAUUUUCGGAACUAAUUGUUAACUUUUUAUGUGUGUAAUAAAAGUAGGAAUCUAGUAAAAAAAAAUCUAUUUUUUUGGCCUAGUAGCUAAAGCUCACACAUUUUAAAUGUGGAGAAGUCGGGUGUUCGGAGUUCGAACCCCAGCCCCGCAUAUAAUAUGCAAUAUCCCUACAAACUGGGUUAAGCUCACGGGAAUAGGAAUCUAGAAUUUAACUCAAUUAGUAACUCCCUUGUAGUUAAUUACAAUGAUGUAAAAUAGAUUUGUACUUCCCCCUCUUUCAUAAAGUGAGUUGUUUAAGUCUUGAAUGUGUAACAUAUAAGUGGGAACAUAUUACAACUUCUUGAAAUCUGCACGAUUAAUUUCAACCCAAUUAUUUUUUGUAAAAAAAUCAAAUCUAAUAUUUCAUGGUUUAUGCUUUGUUCUGCAAAGAGGGGUAACCUUGGCGCAACUGGUAAAGUUGUUGUCAUGUGACUGGAAGGUCACGGGUUCAAGUCUUGGAAACAGUCUCUUGUGUAAAAAACAAGGUAAGGCUGCGUACAAUACACCAAAUGGUGGGACCCUUUCCCGGACCCUGCAUAUGCGGGAGCUAUAGUGCAUCGGGUUGCCCUUUUUAUGCUUUGUUCUGCAAAAAGUAAUAAAUAAUUGAUACGUUAGCUUACAGCUUAUAUGCUAUAUAUAAGCUAUAGACGCUACUUGAUGUAGCAUAUGAAAAAACACUAAUCUCAUGAAAAUGACUAGGUCAAUCCUAUUUAAAAUGACUAGGUCCCUGAUGUAGCAUAUUAAAUACAUUUUUGGUCUCCCUAUUUUGAAAAAAAAGAAGUUUUGGUCAUCCUAUUUAAAAAGACAGCUUUCUAGCCCCAAUUUUCAAUUUUUUGAGUUUUAGUCCCCAAGCUCAAUUUUGGCGAUGUGGCCUUAACACUAAUGAUAUGGCAGUGCCUGGGUGGACAUUUAAUUUCCAUGUCAUUACUAAUUUGUUUAAUUCAAUAAUACCUAUUUUAUACAAUAUUUUAAUUAUUGAAAUAGUAUAUUAAAUUAUAAUUAUUAACUUAGAUUUAGCAAUUAUAAAAUUAGAAAUUAUCCAAAAAAAUAAAAUAUAAAUGCAUAAUUCUUCAACCCACAAAUUGCAUGGAAAUGAUAGCAGAUAGCCGCAAGCGCAAUCGAAUGAAAGAAAAGAACACACGCUGAAUCAUUGCCCCAUUAAGGAUCUUUCUAUCCAUUUAAUUUUCAAGUUUUAGAUCUCUUGGAAUUUUGGGGUUUUAUUGAAGAGCUCUGUAAAAAAUUUAGGUGUGUUUUGAUUUGUACAUGUUUUUUUAGUACCAUUUUGUAUGUGUUGAAAUGAAUUUCAAAAGAUGCUACUGCUUCAUUUUAUACUUCAUAUUCUGGUUUUGAUUUGUCGGAAACUACGAAGAGGUUUAUGGUUUGUAAAGGGUGUGCAGACCUGAAGGGGAACUUGGGGUUUUUGAGUUGAAGAGGCAAGUGAAGCGUGAAAGUGAUGUGAGUGUAGAAGAGAGAAUGAUAUAGGAUGUGAUUUAAUAAAUAUUAUUUUGAUUUAUUAAAUCAGUUUUAACAAUUAAUUAUGCACUGGGUGGGUUUCUUCGUUUAAUAGUUUUUCAAGGGGUAAAAGUCACUUUGGUCCUUGAAUGUGCAAUGAUUGGUCAUAAUAGUCCCUCUGGACCAAAAUUCUAAAAUAGUUUCUGAUUGUGCACUCUUUUAGUUAGAAUUGUCCUUGACGCUAAACUAAUUUCUUAAUGCUUACAAUAACUCUUUCAGAGAGACUAAUAUGACAAUAUCAAUGAAACAUUUUAAAAUCGGGGACUAUUUGACUUCAGGGACUAGUUUGAUACUUUGAGAAACUGUUGUAACUAAUCGUUACACGAUCAGAGGCUAAAGUAACUAUUACUUUUCUUUUAAGGGGUUGCCAAGUUUUCUUUUCAUAAGGUGGUAAUAACGGUGGAGACGGUUUGAGUACAUGGAAUAGUAUGAUAUGCCUAAUGAGUGCAUAUCAUUAGUGUUAAGGCCACAUCGCCAAAAAUGAGUGCAUGCAGUAGGUCUACACGGUUUUGGAUUUUUAAAAACCGUGCCCGACAGUCUAACCCACAUGACCUGUGAACCUGCGGGUGGUUCAGCUAUUUCAAGUGGGGCGGGUUCAGAUUUUAUGCUCACCCCUAGUUUUAUAUGCCUAAUGGAAUUUUAAAAUUUUCAUAUAUGUAACAUUAUGAUCUAUUAUUUUUUGAGCAAUUCUAAAUGGUACGAAACAAAAAAGAAGAAAUGUUACAUGUCUUGAUUUUAAAAGAAGCGGAAAUUGGUUACUUUCUAAUUUGUAGGAAAUCAGGCUUUGGUCUACGUAAACUAAGUAGAAUAAAAACUAUUGUGCUUUUUGUGCAUUGAUUGUUUCCUAACAACAAGCAUUGCGCUUAUUUUUUAAUUUUCAGAUUCAAAAUCUACACCCGGAACAUUCACACAUGGUUGGAUUUAAGAGGCAAAAAAGAGAAUAUGCAUUUUUUCAUAAUGAUUUGAAAUAUGUGGAGUUUCGUGGUUGUGUUUGCUCCACAAACGUUAUUGAGUUAGCUAGUCACCUAUUGAGGAGUGCAAAUUCGCUUAGAAAAAUGACUUUCAAUUCUCGUGACAAAGUCUAUAUUGGAGCUGGUAGAUGGUUCAGAGAUACUACUGAUCGUGACAGAUACUAUAUAGAUGCUAGUAGAUGGAUUAAUUUCUGCGGUGGUGGUUGUUGGAUUGAAGAGAAUGUUAUUCACGAGAUGCUUAAAGAUGAAGUAAAUGAACAAUGCCACCUUAUAAUUUUGUAAUGUUAUUUUAUCUAUUUAUAAUGAGUUUUUACUAUUGUUAUUGGUGAUGAAUCCAUUCGUACUUUGUAUAAUUUACUUAUGAAUUUUUGGGUUUUUGGGAAAGAUUGAGUGGAUUUUUGGGUUUUUCGAGGAAACCAAGAGUGAUAGGUUCAUUUUCAUAUUCAUCAUCAGAAUCAUCAAAAUCAUUAUCAUUAUCAUCAUCUUCAUCUACAAAUUCAUCAUUUUCCAUUCGAAUUUCCUUGAGUUUGUUCACAAAAUCUCCAAUUGAUGCAUCAAUGUCCAUCUUUUUUGAGACGCAGGGAGAAGGAGAACGACGCGGCAGGAUUAGGGUUUAUAAGGUUUUGGGAUUAUCUCUUGCCCUCUGUCUACAGUAUCUUAACUAUUCUCACCCCUUAGAUUAAUUUAACGGUUCAAAGGGUGAAAUACAAACAAAAAAGUUGUGAAAGAGAGUGGUGAAAAAUUGAUAUCAGUUUAAAAUAAUUUAUCUAACUUAAAUAAUUUAUUUAUAAUUUUAUUCUUCUUUAUCCAAUCAUAUGACAGAAUUUUUUAAAAAAUAUUUAUUUCUAUCUAUUCUUCAAUAUAUAAAUGGAGAUAUCAAGUUUUAGUGUAACCUUUUUUUUAUUUAAUUUUGCCAUUCAUUAAAUUUUUUAUUUAUAAUUUUACCAUUCUUUGCCAAAUGAAAUAACUUGUUUUUUAAAUAAAUAAUCAUAAAUUAUUUAUAACUUGAAGGACAUGAACGACUAUUUUAUAACUUGAAAACAUGAACGCCAAUUUUAUAAUUUUAAAGAUAUGAACAACAAAAACAGACACAAUAUUUAUAACUUUGAGAUAUGAUCGAUAAUAACAGACACAAUAUUUAUAACUUUAAAGACAUGAUCGGGAAAGGCAGAUGGAUGUGCAAGUUUGCAUGCAAGUUUAACAAAAUCGUUAUACAAAGUGUGCCAUUUGAUAUUUGAUAUUUUUAUGACAACUAUAAGAGUUUGCCAAAGUAAGAAAAAUCCUCAAAGCUCGUAAGAUGCUUACAAAUUGUCUUACAUUUUCACUCUCACAACCUUGGCCGUCACGAGAUCCAACAAAUAGCUUCCAAGAGAGACAUGCUACAAUGCAGGGAAAUGGUCAAAAAUCAAGGUUUGGGGAAGCCAGGGGUGAGGCUCAUAAUUUAAUAAGGAAGUCUAAAAGGUGAUAAAAUAAUAAAAUCUUUUAACACUGCCUUGUUUGCCAAUCAAAUACCCCUUGCUAGGAGAAACCAAAAGAAGUCUUUCUCCAUUUCAAGUUUUUAUAUUUUGUUGAUAACCAAUGUAAGCUAAAGUUGCAGCACUCGCUGCUUAAUUUUUCAGUUGACCAAUAUGAGCAAGUAUGGUCUUGUUUGUAGAGUUCUGAACAUGUGUUAUAAGUAUAACUGGCGAGUUUUUUUUUCUUCUUCCUUUUCUACUGUAAUGUAUAUGCUGACGUUGACUAAGAAAACUUGGUUUUUUCUCUACCAGUUUGUGUCUUUCAAUGUACUUCGAUCAGUUGGUUUGAUUCAGACACUUUCGCCAAAUCAGUACUAGUAUGAAAAAUGAGGUAAAAAAGAAGAAUUACAUGAUUUGGAACUUCGAACUAACAGCCAAUGAGGUAAAAAUGAAGUACAUGAGUUGGAAGUUUGGAACUUCGAACUAACAGCCUUAUUGACUUGCGUAAAUAUUUUUAUUUUAUUUAUAUUUACAUGGAUUUAUGUAAGAAAUACAUUAAAUGGUUUAUUGUUUUUUUUUUAGGAUAAAAAAUAGUUUAUUGUUUAUCUUUUAAAAAAGUAAAAUAUUUAGUAGGUUCAUGAAUUUAAUUUAAUUUUUAUUUAAAAUUGCACACGUUAACAAACCCAAUUUUAAAAUAUGUUCCGUACGGUAAUCAAAAUAAAAAAUUUAUUUUUUUUAUUUAAAAAAUAAAGUUUUUUACGUAAGAAAUUGAGAGGGGGAAAUUGAAAGUUUACAGCCAUAGGUUCAUGAAUUUCAGCUACAGAGUUUGAACGAGGCCACCAGCUUCACCCUUUCUCUUCCACUCCUCAGCCGUCGUUUCCAUGCUUUCUUCGCUACAACAACAUUGUUCCGCUACUCGUUCAUCUGCAUGCAUAACAACCCUUCUCAAAGCUUGCAAGAGAAUCCAACAUCUUCAACAAGUUCACGCUUCCAUCAUUCAAAGAGGCCUUGAACAAGACCAAGUUCUCAUUUCCAAUUUCAUUUCCCUCGCCAACACACUUUCCAUUUCCACUCGCUCAUAUUCCACAGCGGUUUUCAACCGCGUUCUCAAUCCCUCUACAUUCCUCUGGAACACUUUCAUUAGAACCCAUUGUCAAAGUAGCUUCUUUUCUGAUACAAUUUCCGCCUUUAUUCGCAUGAAAGCGGAAGGGGCUGUGCCUGAUAGUUACACUUACCCUUCUGUGAUUAAAGCAUGUUCUGGUACGUGUAAGGUUUUGGUAGGAAAGUCGGUUCACGGGUCGGUGUUUAGGUGUGGUUUGGAUCAGGAUUUGUUUAUGGGUACUACUUUGAUUGAUAUGUAUGGUAAAUGUGGACAGAUUAGUGAUGCUCGUAAGGUGUUUAAUGAAUUAACUGAGAGAAAUGUGGUUUCUUGGACUGCUAUGGUUGUUGGGUAUGUUACUGCUGGGGAUGUGGUUAAGGCAAAGAAGGUGUUUGAUGGAAUGCCGUUGAGGAAUGUAGCUUCGUGGAAUGCUAUGAUCCGGGGUUUUGUUAAGGUUGGGGAUUUGAGUAGUGCUAGGGGUGUGUUUGAUUCUAUGCCGGAAAAGAAUGUUGUUUCUUUUACGACAAUGGUUGAUGGAUAUGCUAAGGCUGGUGAUAUGGAAUCGUCGAGGUUCUUGUUUGAACAAGCUGCGGAGAAGGAUGUUGUUACCUGGUCUGCUUUGAUAUCAGGUUAUGUUCAGAAUGGCGAGGCUAAUGAGGCGUUGAAGGUCUUUCUUGAGAUGGAAUCAAUGAACGUGAUACCUGACGAGUUCGUAUUGGUUGGUUUGAUGUCGGCUGCUUCUCAGUUGGGUGACUUAAAAUUGGCUCAACGGGUUGAUUCUUAUGUAGGCAACAACUCUAUUGAUCUUCAGAAAGACCAUGUGAUUUCAGCACUUGUGGAUAUGAAUGCGAAGUGUGGAAACAUGGAGAGGGCGUUGAAAUUGUUCCAAGAAAUGCCUGAGAGAGAUUUAGUCUCGUAUUGUUCAAUGAUUCAUGGGUUUUCAAUUCACGGGCAUGGGGAAGAUGCUGUGAAUCUAUUUAAUAGGAUGCUGAUGGAAGGGAUAGUUCCGGAUGAGGCGGCAUUCACAAUUGUCCUGACAGCUUGUAGUCAUUCAGGGCUCAUUGAUAAGGGUUGGAAAUACUUCAACUCCAUGGAGGAAAAUUAUGGCAUUAGUCCUACACCUGAUCACUUUGCAUGUAUGGUUGAUCUUCUAGGCCGGUCUGGGCAAUUAAGGGAUGCUUAUGAACUUAUAAAAUCAAUGCAUAUAGAGCCUAAUGCUGGUGCAUGGGGUGCACUUAUUGGAGCAUGUAAACUACAGGGUGAUACAGAGUUAGGAGAGAUUGUUGCUAAUCGACUUUUUGAACUCGAGCCUCAAAAUGCUGCUAAUUACGUGCUGCUGUCUAACAUCUAUGCUGCAGCUGGGCGAUGGAAAGAUGUUUCCCUUGUGAGAAGUAAGAUGAAGGAAAGAGGAGUGUGCAAGAUACCUGAUUGCAGUAAACUUUAGUACCAUGCUGAGUUAUUUGUGGUUCCAUGAAUGAAGUUCAGAAUGUACAGAACAUGGAGAUCGGUAUGAGUUCUUGUCCAGUUGAUCUUGAAGCUCAGCAGUUAUUCCAUGGUAGGUAAAUUGCAAAUUAGUUGAUGCUAUAUAAGUUUAUUGCCAUUUUUCACUAACUGUCGCAUAUAAUUUCAACAUGAAAGAACAUGAGAGGAUCUAUUCUCAUUGAAGUUAAGUUAUGCUUUCUUCUAUGUUACUUUGGAUUGAGGUUUUAAUUUCAUUUAUGUCGUUUUUAGGGGUUGAACCUAUCCUGCCUUCAUAAGAUGCCCUGUCAUGAAUAGCACUAUUUAUUCACAACGCAUUUGUUUAUAAUUUUUCAGUAUUUCUUGGACCACAGGAUAUCAAGAGCUUUUUGCAAUUUACAUUGAAAAUGUUGUGUAUGUCAACCACCAAGGAUUUGUGUUGAUGCCCUUACCAUUCAUUAUAUAUUUAUAUUUUUAAUACAUCUACUAGAAGUUUGAUGAUGUUGGUUACAAAUUAAUAUAAUUUCUUCAUGAUUGUCGAUAGAAGAUUUACUAAAACAGAUUGUAAAAGGCCAAUGAGCUCUUUGUUUAUGCCAAACUGCAUAUCAAAGUAAAUUUAUACUUCUUUUUUUGUUUCUUUAAAUGGAGGGCUGUUCAUUUAGUUAUUUCUUUCUUUUAUAACAUGGUUGCAUAAUUUCCUAUUAAUUGCGUAUCAAAUGUUUUAAUUUUAUUAGUGAAAAUUAUAAAAAUGAGGGGUAACCUUGGCGUAACUGGUAAAGUUGUUGUCAUGUGACUGGAAGGUCACGGGUUCAAGUCCUGGAAACAGCCUCUUGUGUAAAAAACAGGGUAAGGCUGUGUACAAUACACCAAUAAUGGUGGGACCCCUUCCCGGACCCCGCAUAUGCGGGAGCUUUAGUGCACCGGGUUGCCCUUUUUAGUGAAAAUUAUAAAAAUAAUAUUUCUAAGUGAAGUUCAAAAUAAGUAACUCAAGACCAGUUUUUUACAUGUAACUCUUGCAUAUCCUAAGCACUCCAUACCUUGAACCGCACACUGUUUCAAAUGUCUUUGCUGAUUCUCUACGUUUUUGUGUUUCCUUUUAAGGUUUUCUUCCACCUCAGUUGGUGGUGUUUUACUGUUGCUUUUAUUGCCUUGAGAGAGUCACCGCUAUUGCUACAGUUGUUUAUGAAGCUUCACUUGUAGCUAAUUAAGACAGUGAAACUGAUGCCUUGUUAGGGAAGAAAGCGAGCCUUGACAAUCAAAUCACAACUUCCCUGUCUUCUUGGAUUACCGGUACCAACCUGUACAUGGAAAGGAUUCAUUGUGAUCAAUCCCAGUCUAUUGCUACAGUUGUUUAUGAAGCUUCACUUGUAGCUAAUUAAGACAGUGAAGCUAAUGCCUUGUUUGGGCAGAAAGCGAGCCUUGACAAUCAAAUCACAAAUUCACUGUCUUCUUGGAUUAGUGGUACCAAUUCUUGUACAUGGAAAGGAUUCAAUGUGAUCAAUCCCCGUCUAUCAUCACAAUAAAGAUCUCAAGUAGCAUUGAAGCAGGUUGGCAGGUAUUGUUUAAAUUUCUAUUGUCACCAUCUGUUUGAAUAAUAUUUUUCUAUGUUUCUUUCUAUCAUCAUCUCCUUCUGAUUCCCUGUUUGUCUUUUCUGUUUUGGCAGCCCAGAUUUAUAUGGUGGCGAUAACAUCAAACUAUUCACUUAUUGGACAGUGGAUUCUCAAUUCGAUUGCCCCAUUUUGUUCUUUCUUUUAAUUCAUUAUAAUAACUUGAUUAAUUACUUUGAUAGAUUGAUGCAUAUCAAGCAAUGGGAUGGUAUAACCUCCCUUGCUCUGGCUUUAUUCAAAUUAUCGAUAUAGGUCUGGGAGCAAGCAUCUUCCCACUUUCUAACCAUGCUUCUUCCCAAUAGGGAGUAUAACUUUAAGCAUCCUGGUAUGAGAGGUACACAUUUUUUAUCCUUUUAUAAUAUUGUCUUUUGUUGUAAGACAUAAUGGAAAGAAAUUUUGCCCCACACGUAAUAAACACUAAAAUUGUAUCAAUGAAAUUGUUAUGUACAAGCACACACACCAUUUUUAAUUGUAAUAUUUUGAUAUUGAUUUUAUUAUUCUGUCUUUUUUAUUUUUGCUUCCUUGUUUUUUUUCCUGAUUAUGAUUGAAUCAUGUUUGCAUCUUUUGAUGACUUUUCUAUUGUCUCUGUCUGUUGGCAAUUCAGUAUUUUUGUUCCUUCUAUUGUCAUGUACUCAAGCACACACACCAUUUUUAAUUGUUAUAUUUUUGAUUUGAACAUAUUAAUCAGUUCACCUUUAUUUGAUUUGCAACUGUAGCACCAAGAACAUUUUGAGACCCACUCCCUGUAGAUGGUUGAAGACUAUGGAACCCACUUGAAGCCAUGACACCACACAGUUAAGCUUGUCAAAGAGAAAAGAAGAAACAGAGUUGCAAGGAAGAGGAGUCAAGGGGAAGCCGUCACAGGGAGGCUACCACGCACGUAAGGAGGAAAACACCCCUCAUGCAAUUCAUAACAUUUUUCCAAAACACGUUAUCCUUAACCGCCUUUUCCACAAUGAUCCCAUCUUUACUCUUUGCAAGUUUACCGGACUUCCACUCUUUCAAUGUGAACAUAAUAAUAAGUGCUCUAUAAUUGUAAUGCAAACACUCUAAUAUCAAGUAAGAUGCUGCAAAACGAGUCAUUGCAGGUUAAAUCAAAUAGUGUCUACAGUAAAUUUGUGCAAUAAAAGAAUAUGAUCUUCUGUAAAUGAAUAUUUUAUCGCUAGCAAUCAUAUCUUGUGGAAAGAAAUCUUCUCAAAAUUUUCCAACAUUAGGUCGAUUCAAUGAGCUGCACAUGGUGUCCAAUACAACUUCUCCCACUUUUGCAUCAACAAUUACCCAUCAACUUUGUAAUUUGCUGCAUUGUCCAUAAAAAUUGGGACAAGUUCUUCAACAACCUUUACAACAAUAUCAUCUUAAAAACAUUGUCGGCAGUUUUUGCUUAUGUUAGACGCGUCAAUAGAUUUCUUAAAAAUGGCUCGCUUGAGAGUAUUCACCAAAAAGUUCAGUAUAGUUCUUCAAGUAUUGGUCCAACCGUCGGUCAUUAUGGUGUAUUCUAAUUUCUUCUUAACGACCCUAUGAUCUUACCGAUCCUCAUUGAUUUUACCAACAUAAUAAUUCAAAUAUUUCACUCUAAUAUCAUGAUUUGGUGGUGGCUUAAAUCCUUGACCAUGUUUAACAACAUAUUUUACGGUAUAACAUUGUUGCAAGGCAGACUUGGUUUUUUUAUUUUUAUUUUAAAUCUCUUCUGAUUCUUAAAGAACCCACAUUUCAGUAGAGUUAAACAACAGUUUUUUCCCACUGCAAACUUGCGAUUUCAACCACACCGCGCACCUCUAGUAAUCCUAUCUGUAUUGCAGUACAGAACCAUGGCUGUUGUUUAUAGGUUUUUAUGAUACAAUGAGGCGAACGCCACGCGAUCUUGACUACUUUGAAAGUACCCAGACCUUAGUUUUUCUAAAAAUAUUACUCCCUCCGUUCCAAAUUGUAUGAUGUUUUGGCCAUUUUACACGUAUUAAGAAAUGUAAUUAAUAUUGUGUGGGGAAGAGAAAUUAUGAAUUGUUUUACAAAAUUAUCCCUUAAUAAAUGGUAUGGAAAAGAUAAAUGAAAUAAUUGAAAGAAGAGGAAGUAAUUAAUAAUUAAUGAUAUAAUAGGAAAAGUAACAUUAAUAUUUCAUUGGUUUUGUAAAGCGACAUAUAAUUUGGGACAAAUUUUUUUUCCGCGACAUACAAUUUGAGACGGAGAAAGUAAUAUCUUAACACAGUGAUAGUAACCGUGCCAAAAAAAUUGGAAAUCAUCAUUGCACAUUAUUGCAUUUUCAACGUGAAUUAUAUCCAUUUAAUAGAAAAUUAAUGUGAGGGUCACAAGUUUUAUUGCUGCAAACUAGAAAAAAGAAGUAAAAAUUGAAAUAUUAGUGGUUUAAGGUUUCCUCGGCAGUUAAUUGCUGAAGUUUGUCUGGCAGUUAACUGCAGUCGGUUUUCUAUUUCCUCGACACUUAACUACUGAAUGGUAUUUGGAUAAUUUACUUGUGUUUCUCAGCCAAACAACAUGUGUAUACAACAAUUUUCUAGAUCUUUUAGUAUCCUAUUAUAAAUUUGUUAACCUCUACAAAUUUGUUAACCUUUACAGUAAUUUAAGCUUACUAAUUUCGUUAAUUUUUUGCAUGUUUAAAUGUAUUAUUAUAAAUUAGAUUGAAAUAUGAUAUAAUAUAUAACGAAAUUCUUUAAAAAUUCAUGUUAAAUAUCAAAAGAGAGAUUAAUCCCAUUGGUAUAAUAGUUCGUCAGUCAAUUUAACCUUAGAUCACUUUACUUAUUUAAAAAUAUUCACAUGCAAUAAACUUUUAAACAGACUAACAAAUCAUAUGAGACUUUUAGAAGAUCAUAUCCAAAUCUAAAAAAAUAAGCUUUUGACAAGUCACAAACUAGAUUAAACCUUACAUUUUUUGACAAGUGAGGAUUAGGCUUUGUAAAGCCUAACUUAGCCUAAGUGCCUAACCUCACCCCUAGUUGAUAAGAUUCCAACUUAAUUAUUCUUGAUCCAUAAUUGGAGCUAACUUCGGCGUAUUACAUUGAGUUGCCGGCUACAACGUGGAUCAAGACACACACCCAAACAAAUACUGUUGGAGUUUGUGAUUAUUUGUACAUAAAAUAUUAGUACUACCUUUGUAUUGGCACGUCUUUAUUUUUUUUAUUAAACUGGACUUCUUUGUUAAUAUAUUGCAUCAUAUGGAUGAAACAAGAGAUGAAAAAGAGUGAAUAAUUUCUUAAUAUACGGACGGUUGUUUCCAUACAAAGCGAGUGACUUUUGCCUGCCUAUUGGUUGCUAUUAGUUAAGCUCAUUUUCACGUUCUAACAUACUGUUCCUUUCCUCUCAUUUUCUCAGAUUUCUCUCUCUCUUUUUUAUAGAUAUCAUGGCAAGUUCGAGCCCUGCCGAAGUCAACAGAAGGUAUGCUUCGUGAUCUUAACAAUUUACUUUUGUGUAAGAUUCUAAGUGUCACAUUUGAAAUAUUUGUUUGUUUCAUAUUAUUUGCUAUUUUAGAAUACCAAUAAAAUGUUAGUUACUUUUUUCUUGUAUAUUUUAUUUCAACUCAAAUAACUACUCCACUAAAUAUCAAUAAUGAUACUUUAGCUAAUGAAGUUCAUUUUUUUUUUUUUUUGUUAAGUAACUCAAAUUAUUAUAAAUUUAUCCUUUAAGGUGAAUAGGUGGAGAUUUGGAAGUUUGAACUCCGGCUGUUACAUAUCACAAUAUUUUUAGUUUUCACCAGUCAAUCUUCAAAAAUUUCAUUCUAAUACCAAACUUAUAUAAAAAAAAGCAGGAGAAGUAAAAAAAAUGCAGGGUCAUCUGUCUACUUGGCUAGUCAAACACGGAAUAGUUCAUAGAUCUUUGGGUUUUGAUUACCAAGGAAUAGAGACUUUACAAAUAAAGCCAGAGGAUUGGCAUUCAAUUGCUGUUAUUUUAUAUGUAUAUGGUUACAAUUAUCUACGUUCCCAAUGUGCCUAUGAUGUAGCACCAGGAGGACUAUUAACCAUAUUCAUGGGGACGCUAAUGAAAAUAAUUUUAUCAUAGAAAUUAAUGCCCUUAAUCAUUUUAUCAAUAAAUAAGCAUAACUUUAAUGACACUUAAUAUGAGACAGAGGGAGGAGUAACCAUUUGGUAUAUAUUAUUGUCUAGAGUCAUAGGAAUGAAAUUGUGUUUAGAAGUAUGGAUUUUGACAUUAUUCAUUCGUUGGAUAUAUUGAAAAUUUGAUACUGGAAAUGGUUAUACUUAUUGCUAAAUCAGAUGCCAUGAUUUUUAAAAAAUUUAUACCAUAUGUACAAUAGGUUUUUCUUCACUCUAAAAAUAGGAUAACGAAAAUCAUUAAAAUUCAAAAGUUGAAUUACGGACUAAAAUUUGAUACAAAAGUAAAAUUAGUCUGAGUUUGACGUCUUAACAGAUUUAAUAUUUUUCCGUCACUAGUUCAAUUUUUUCUAGUAAUAUUUGUUUUAUUGUUUAGUGUUUCCUGAUUCUUUUUUCUUUUUGAAGGGUUCCAAUGUUUAAUGAUUCUUGUAUUGUUAUAAAAAAUCAAAUAAUAAUAAUAAGAUUUUGCAUUUAGAUUAAUCUAAAAUAGACAUCAACGCUCAAUAACAUGAAUUGUGUAUGAAUUUAGGUCUAAAAACUCUUUUCUUCUAUGCAGACUAGAAGGAAAAGUGGCGUUGAUAACAGGUGGAGCUAGUGGAAUUGGCAAACGCACUGCAGAAAUUUUUGUCCAACAAGGAGCCAAAGUAGUGAUCGCCGACAUCCAAGAUGAACUUGGACAUUCGGUUGCUCAAACCAUAGGAUCAUCAACAUGUACAUAUGUACAUUGUGAUGUCACUGAUGAGAGCCAAAUAAAAAAUGUNUAAGAAGCUUGAAUUACAACCCCCUCACUGAAUAAUUAUAUUUUGAUUACACUUUAAUCUAUUUUAACAUAGAUAAUAUUUUUAUAAUAUAUAUUAAUAUUGAAUCACCAUUUAAAAAAUAUAAAUUUGUUUCUUUAUAAUCUAAAUGUCAAUGACAUUAAAUUUAAAUAUUUUGUUAUUAAUUUUAUAAUUUAGAGUAUAAAAUUCACUUUUAAAUAACCAUAUUUAAUCGACUUUAGUAAUUUUUCCCAUAUUUUAAUUUUAUUUUGGGUUGUUUCAUAUUUUAUAAUAGGGAAGGAGAAGGAGAAGGAGUGGAGGGAGAAUGAGUGGAGACGAAGAUUUUAUGGAUGCCGAGGUCGUGAAGGGAGAUGUGAACGUUGGAGAUGGCGGGGAGGAGGUUGUUGAUGGAUUCAGGGUAAACGUCGACACAGAUGGUGGUGAUUUUGGCGCGUGGAAGAGAAGGAAAGAGAGGAAAGAAGAACGGGUGAGAAGAAGAGAGGGAAGAAACAAGUCAAGGGCACUAAGGGCAUUUUUGUCCAUUCAAGUAAAAAAUAUAAGUCAGCAACCACUUACCCCAAUUAACAUCGGACACGUCAGCUAAUCACUGCCACCUCAGUAAGAUUAUUAUCUGAUGGACUAAAUUUUAAAGUGACAAAAUAUCAGCAUUAACCAAUUCAGGGAUCAUUUUUUAAAUGAUUCCUAUUUGCAAGGACUAAACACUACAAGUAAAUAAUGGUUAAAAUAGUAGUUAUGAGCUGAUGGACUUUCUAUAUUGGGUUAUUAUUUACUGCUUUAAAAGAACUUCUUUCUACUAGUUACUUUUACAAUUACAUUAUAUAAAUUUGAGUUCACAUGAUAUAGGAACCCAUUGGUGGAUGCGUGUUCUAUCCAUUUUUAACCAUAUCAAUUUGUUUCUUUUUUAUAAAGGAAUGUGGAUUGAUCUCACUAUUCUACAUAUCAGAAAUGAUUGUUUGGUUAAGCUUGCUAUUAAUUUGUUUCUUUUUUAUAAAUGAAUGUGAAUUGAUUUAACUCUUCUGCAUAUCAGAAAUGAUUGUUAUAUUAAGCCUUGCUAUGUUUUGUUGUAAACAGUUAAAUGUUUUUUUCUUUCUCCAAAUUAGAAGAAUGGAUGAAACUCAUCUCUUGUUUGAUAAUUUUUUUUUUAGAUCUGAAAAAGAAAAAAAUCAGACGCACUACUCGAGACAUUUGCAAUAUGAUAGGUUUUCUUGGUUUUGAUUUCGAUUUCAUGUAUGUUAUGUUUACAUUCUUUUUAAAAAUAAUAAUUAAUAACCUAUGUAUUUUUUCCUUCAUUUCAGCUAUCUGAUGAGUUAUUCGUGCAACAUGCUGAUUACCAGGAGAGAUAUCAACAUUGGCGCGGAGCAUAGUAUUGCCUGACCCAACCCAGCCAUGGAAGUUGGUGUAUCUUUGUUGGUGUGAUUGUGUGUUGAAUUACAUGCUUAGACUGAAUUUCGUUUAUAUUGCUUUGCUUAUGUUGAAAUAUUAGAUUGGUUGAUAUAUAUUGCUUGUGUUGGUGUAGCUUUGCUGUUGUGUUGAAUUUCAUGCUUAUACAGAAUUUCGCUCAUAUUACUUUGCUUAUGUUGCAAUAUUAGACUGAUUUGCUUAUAUUGGUCGAUAGAUAUUGAUGUUUAUAUUGAAAAUAUUUCAAAAGUUAGGACAGGUCCAAUCAAAUUUUACAUUUUAGACAAAAAAAAAAUGAAUGUUUUGUUCCUUAGAAUAUGAUCGAGGAGAUACACAUACUGUGGUUUUUUUUUUUUUUAAAUGUUAAAUAAAGUUUGCAUUGAAUAAACAUCAAAUACAAGUUUUCAUAAAAAAUAUCAUUGCUUGAUCAAAAUAACAUCUUAAAAUUUUAAGUAAAUUACUCUCCCAUCUCCUCAAAGAUGCUUGAAUUACACUUUCCUUCCCUCUUAUGUUAAAAUAUACACACUCCUCCGUUGAAAAGUAAAAUUUAUACUCCCCUCCCCUAUAAGAUGCUUGAAUUACAACCCCCUCCCUAAAUAAUUAAAUAUUGAUUACACUUUAAUCUAUUUUAACAUAGAUAAAUAUUUUUAUAAUAUAUAUUAAUAUUGACUCACCAUUUAAAAAAUAAAAAUUUGUUUCUUUAUUAAUUUGGGUUGUUUCAUAUUUUAUAAUAGGGUUUAAAACUAUAUGUUAAUGAGAUUGUGAAUAAAAAAAAAAAAGAGAAAGAUAUGUAUUUAAAAUUUGAUUAUAUUAAAAUAAAAUGAACCCGCACUACUAUUUUUCUUUGAGGUGCGUUAGAUUAUUUUUUUGCUAGAUUAUUAGAAAUUUUAAAAAAAAAAUUAUUGAGGGACUAAAGAGUGGAUUUUAACUUAAGAGGGGAGGGGAAUGUAAUUCAAGCUUCUCUCAAGGGAGGGGAGGGAAAUGUUUUCUAAUAUGUUUUGAAUAAGAGGGGAGGAAAGUGUAUAUUUUAACAUAAGAGAGGAGGGGAGUGUAAUUCAAGCAUCUUUGAGGGAAUGAGAGUGUAAUUUACUCUAAAAAUUAUUAUAUACGUGACAUAUAAAUUUAAUAUAAUAUUUUUAUAAAGCUAAUAUAAUAUUGUAAAUAGGUUAAUAAUGUAAAAUAUGACUUAAUUAUAAAGAUAAAGUAUACUCAAUAACCAAAAUAAAAUGUUUUGCUCAACUUAACAUCAAAAUACAAAAUAAACUUGUCAAAUUAUAAGUUUCAUAAGUUUCUAAACAAUCCCUUAAUGUUGUUGAUGUUCUACGUCGAAUUUUAACAUCAUAACUGAUGUAAUUUACUAAUAAAAUAAUAUAGCAUUUCAAAAUUUUGCACGCGGUUAAUUUAAAUAGUUAUUUGAUAGAUAAUAGAUACAUAAUAGAUAAAUAUAAUGGAGGUUAAAAUUUACAAUCAAUUUGUAUUUCUAACAUAUAUAAUAUUCAUUCACUCUCAUAUGAGAUGCUUUCAUUCACUCUCACAUGAGAUGCUUGACUCAAAGAGUCAUAUUUAAUUGAUGAAAAAUGAAAGGAUAUCCAUGCAAGAUGCAUUAGUUCAUGGAAGUAGUUGAUUGUGUUGUUUGUGAUUGAAAUACAUGACUUCAAUUAAAAGUCAUGCUUACUUAAUGAUAAUGAUAGAAAAUUAAUUGCGUAUGAUAUAUCUAAUACAUUCAAGAUUAAUUUUUUUAAUUAAAAUAUAUGAUAGAUUAUUAUAUUUUUUAUAGUUUUUAAUUAAUAAAUCAUGCUUUCAACGAAGUCUGAUAUGUUGCUAAAUUUCUCGUCAUUGUUAUUUGAUUCAAACAAGUUGAGAAUCAUUUUACAAUACUAACUUUUGUAAUUGCUAUAUUUCUUAACGUGAUUUAAGUUACUUACUUUUUAGAUCAUUCAAUAAAAAAAAAAGGUUGUUUAUUAGGAUUGAUGUUUGGUCAAUUUAGAGAAAAAUAAUUUGUAUUAAUCAUCCGUUUAAAAAAAUUGUAUUAAUCAUAGUUUUAAAAAUUGGACCAUUGUCGAUUCGGUAAGGUGACUGAGUCACUGGUUCACCGAGCCAUUGGUUGAAUCGCUUGACUGAACCAGAUUAAACUGAAUAACUCGUAUAUAAAACUCGGUCUCUAUAAAAAUGCGUGCGUGUAUUAAACUGAGUUGGAUCAUAUUGAACUAAAUCGCUCAUCUCAAAAAAUAAAAAUAAAAAACUCAUAAAACCUUGUCAAAACUCAUCAAAAUUAACAAUAAUAUGUGCAUUGUAUACCAAUUUGGAGUUGGCUUAGUGGUUGACUUGGGAUCUUGGAGUUUGCUCCUCUUGAAGUCUCAGGUUCGAUUCCCUCUGGUGUCAAUUUCGGUGGGCUAAGUCCAUACAAAGCUUGCUCUGACUUUAAAUGGAUACCGAGUUUUCAAAAAAAAAAAAUAUGAGCAUCGUAUACCUACACAAAAUCAUACCAUAUUUAAUUAAAUAUUAAUAUUUAUUUCAAUUUUGAUGCAUUUAUUUAGAAAGAUACAAUUAUAUUUAAAGAAUGUAUUUUAACUAUAUAUAUAUAUAUAAUAAUAAUAAUAAUAAAUUAGAAACAUUAAAAUUAUAGUAUAAUUUAUAAUAAGAGUUAAGUCAACAAAUUGACUCAUGUGAGCAAUGACCUAGUGGUUGUGUUGUCAUGGUGGAAUUUUUUUUUAUCAAAAAAUAAAGUAAAGUAAAUGACAACUUUUUUUUCCUAAAAAAAACCUUUUUUUAUAAAAAAAAAUUGAACAAGCAUAUACAUUUACAUAUAGUCAAAAAAGAAUUGAAGCAUGCUUAAAAAUAAAAAGCGAUAGUGUACCAAAAAAAAAUGGCAUACGUGAAUAAUGGAAUACACCGUGAUAGAUUAUUAUAUUUUUAUAGUUUUUUAUAGAUUAUAUUUUUAUACGUGAAUUGAAGCAUGGUCUCAAAUUGUAUGUUUUAUAUAUAAUUGAUGAAAAGUCAAAAAAGAAUUGAAGCAUGCUCUCUAAGAGUUACUCUGUUAUUGGGUGAAAUUCAUGUGGGUACCGCACAUUGAAAAUGGAUUCCCCAUAAAGUGGUGAGACCCACAUGAGUUUCACCUAAUAAGAGGGUGAGUGUUAAAGAGAGUGUUAGAAAGAGAGUGUUCCUAGCAUUUCUCUUGUGUGAUAUUGGUUAAAGCUGAUGCCUAUGCCUUGGUGUUGGUUGCAUGUUCAAGUUCCUCUCAAAUUUUUAGAUUUUUUUGAAAAAUAGUUUGAAGCACGGUGAAAGGGAGGCAUUGACUCUCGGUCGGCUAGCACAAACCGCCGGGUCACUGGUUUUUAUUGGGUUUGAUCGAUUUUCACCGAUUUGAUUACAUAACCGAUCUAUUAAGCAGUUUGAAUCGGUUACUCCAUCAGUUUCUAUUUGGAUCGAUCUGACCAGCUGAGUUCGGUUUUUAAAACUGUAUGAUACUAAUAUCUUGUGUUAUUUGUUACGAUGUUUCUUAGAAUUAUUUGUCUUAUAUGCCCAAAAGUGUCUUUUUUAAUAUUGAUUUAGUCGUAGAGUAUUACAAGAAAUUUCAAGACCAUAUUUCUCUAGUGCAUAGUUUGUGGACUAUCUCUUCCUACUCUUAAUAGUACUGCAUGAAUAAUAAGUGAAAUGUAUUUUUUUGCAUAAUGUGUACAUGCUUAUGGUACAUGGUUUGUAAAAUAACUCUAUAUAUUAUUGUUAAUGUUUGGGGCAUGGUUUCUGGACUAACUCUUCUUGCUCUUAAUUGUAGUGCAUAAACACUAUCACAAACAUAUCAUUACAGCACAAACAUGUGGAAUAUUAAUGGACAAAAAUAAAGAGCAUGAAGGUAAGUAAGAAAUUUGAAAAUAAAAUGAUAUGUGUUUGCAUACAUUCAUGUAGAAGUGAAUUGAAUUAUAAAUUUGUGUGUGAAAAUCAAUUCUAGAAUUAAAAGUUAUAAAUCUAUGGAGUUGAAUGAUAAGUAAGAGUGUGUUUGAAUUGGAGAAUGUUUUGAGGGAAUGUAUUCGGGAAUUUAAAUACUUUGGGGUGAAUUCCAUUGUUUGGAUAAUAAUUUGAAGCAUUUUCAAAAUGAUGAAAAUUUAUGAAGUAUUUUGUUCAAGUUAAAUUUAGAGAAUUUCAAAUUUCUUCAUUGUUGUUAUUUUUCAUAUUUUUCAUUUUGGUCCUCAAGUUUUCCAAAAAUUUCAAAUUGACCCCAAUAAAUUUCCAAAAAAUUGCAAAUUGGUCCCUCAAUUUUUUCGAAAAUUAUAAUUUGACCCCUCAAUUUUUUGAAAUUUAUAUUUUGACCCCUAAUUUCAAUUUUCAAAUUUGGCCUAAAAAAAUUAAAAUUUAUAAAAGUUGCUCAAAAAUGAUGACAAUGAAUUUUUGUAUUACUUUAUCCAAACAAAAGAAUUGAGAAAUGAAAGUAAUUCAAUUGAAUCAUUUAAAUUGCCUAGAAUUCUAAAUUCUUUAAAAUUUCUCAAUUACCUCAUCCUAACACACUCUUAACUUUAACUAGAAUCAAUUCUACUCGACAAAAAUAGCUAAUGAAGUUCAUUUUUAAGGGUACUUUAGCUAAUGAAGUUUUUUUUUUUUUUUUUACCAAGUAAUAAUGUUGAUUAGAAAUUUAUCCCGUAAGUGAUAAAUAAGGGAAGAUUUUAAGAUUUGAACUUCGAUCCUUGUAUAUCACAAUGUUAAUCCGAACCAUUAUUUUCAUCAUAGGGAUGCCAAUGAAGUUCAUUUUAUCAUAGACAUUAAUGCACUCAAUCAUUUUAUCAAGAGAUAUGCAUAACUUUAACAACACUUGAUAUGAGACGGAGGGAAUAGAAAACACCGUGGUUUAGUUUCAGCUGAAUAAAACUUCAAACUUAGUAUAAUUUUGUAUAUUUGUAUUUAGAAAUAUGGAUUUUGAUAUUAUUCAUUCGUUGGAUAUAUUGGAAAUUUGAUACAGGAAAUGGUUAUGUUUAUUGCAAAAUCAGAUGUAAUGUCCUCGUGAGUUUAGCUCAGUUGAUAAGGAUAAUGCAUAAAUAUGCAAGGUAUGGGGUGAAUUUAGCUCAGUUGGUAAGGACAAUGCAUAAAUAUGCAAGGUAUGGGGUUCAAACCCCGGCCACCACAUAAAAAAAAAUCCGAUGCAAUAAUUUUUUAAAAUUUUUUUUGAUACCCAUAUGCUCUAAAAAUAGCAUAACGAAAAUCAUUAAAAUUUUAAAGUUGAAUUACACGCUAAAAUUUGAGGUGAAUUCUAGGGUGAUGGUCCAAUUAAGUCCCUCAUCGGUGGACCACUUUUUAUACAUCAUCAGAUUUGAUGAAAGGUUCGGAUUUUUUAAAAAUAAAAUUAGAACUUUGAAAGAUUGCUACACACAAUCAUGCCCCCCAUAUAUUCCACAAUACUCAUAGGAGAUCUGAAUACUUUAUAUGCGGCUGUCGCGUAAGUUAAAUAUACAGAGAAGACAUUGUUCCGGCUAGAAAAUGAAAUUGAACCUUCCUAAAUUGAACUUUGUGUUGGUGUCCUUGAUGCCUUGGCAUGUGGCAACAAUGGAAAACAUAUACAUACAUAAUUUCUUUUAAUAAUUUCAGUGAAUUAGAAAUAAAACAAAGUGAGCAGCAAGCAAUUAUUCUCUUUUCUUUUGAUUUCAUUUCAUUGCAACAUCUUUUUCAAUUCUAUUACUUUUUUUCUUAAACAAAAUUGAAUGGAAAAAUAAAGGUGUGUCGAUGAAUCAAGGAGUUAUUUCUUUACAUUGGUCCAAAUGAUAUUUCAAGAUCUUUCAUUUGGGAAAUACCUUGAUUCAUCUUCUCCAUGGCUGCCAUCAUAAGCAAUUAAGCACCCCAAAAAAUGUUAAAUGCAAGGGCAACAUUGGUGGACAUGGAUGUUUGGUAGCAGAGAAAGGAGAGGAGGAGGGUAUUGAAAAAUAUGUGUGAUCUAGUGUAUACAAUGUAUAAUAGGAUGUAUAUGUUUGAUUAAUCUAAUGAUUCUUAUUUGUUAUUAUAAGUGAUCCACCGGUGAGGGACUUAAUUGAACCCUCACCCUAGAAUUCACCAAAAUUUGAUACAAAAAAAAAAGUGAAAUUAGUCUGAGUUUGACGUCUCUAACCAAUUUUAUAUUUUUCCGACUAAUUCAAUUAUUUCUAGUAAUAUUUGUUUAGUUAUUCAUGAUUUUUUUUUGAAGGGUUUCAUGAUUCUUGUAUCGUUAUAAAAAAUAAUAAUAAUAAUAAGACUCUGCAUUUAGAUUAAUCUAAAAUAGACAUCAACACUCAAUAACAUGAAUUGUGUAGGAAUUUAGGCCUUACGACUCUUUUCUUCUAUGCAGACUUGAAGGAAAAGUGGCGUUGAUAACCGGUGGAACUAGUGGAAUUGGCAAGCGUACUGCAGAAAUUUUUGCCCAACAACAAGCCAAAAUAGUGAUCGCCGACAUCCAAGAUAAACUUGGACAUUCGGUUGCUCAAACCAUCAGAUCAUCAACAUGUACAUUGUGAUGUCACUGAUGAGAGCCAAAUAAAAAAUGCAGUGGACACAACCGUACAAACAUAUGGAAAACUCGACAUUAUGUUCAACAAUGCUGGCAUUGGUGGACCUAACAACUCUCGGAUCAUUGACAACGAUAAAGAAGAUUUUGAACGUGUAUUAAGCGUCAACGUGACAGGUGUUUUCCUCGGCAUCAAGCACGCAGCACAAGCCAUGAUCCCAACUCGCACCGGUAGCAUUAUAAGUACUUCUAGCAUAAGCUCUUAUGUUGGUGGUGCUGCCUCACAUGCUUAUUGUAGUGCAAAGCAUGCUGUGGUUGGUUUAACUAAAAAUGCAGCAGUUGAACUUGGACAAUUUGGGAUUAGAGUUAAUUGUGUGUCUCCUUAUGCUCUUGCAACUCCUUUAGCAACACAAUUUGUUGGAUGUAAUGAUGGUGAGCUUGAAACUACCAUGAACAUGUUGGCUAACCUUAAGGGUGUAACUUUGAAAACUGAUGAUGUGGCAAAUGCAGUACUUUAUUUUGCUAGUGACGAUUCGAGGUAUGUGAGUGG
rnacentral:lncRNA from 1 species